rnacentral:misc_RNA from 1 species
AUCUAGACAGUCGUCGCGAACAGGCCGAUAUGUGCGUGCGUGUGUCGUUCGUACGUGGUAACUAGACUAGGUACGUAACGAUCGAGUUUAACGCACAACGUGAAUCCGUGUGUCUGUGAGGAGAAAUCGUGAGGGAGUCGUGCGUGCUGGCCACGGGGGCCGCGAUACGAGGAGGAGGGAAUAGAGGAGGAAGAAAGAGAAGUGUCGUGGUUUGACGUUUUUUUGGGUCUCGUCGGCGAGACGACGAGAGAGAGAGAGAGGCGCAGCGGUUGCUUCCGAUGUACAUGGUGGUGGCUGUAGCAGGGUGUGGUGUACGGAGAACAGGUGUCCACGAGCGCAGCUCGACCGUGAAACGAGGAGAAGCCGGAAACGUAGUACGAAGCCGGUGCGGUUACGGCAGCAUGAAUUUUCGGGCUGGCUAGCCCGGAGCAAAGACUCGCGCGAGCAACAUCAGCGAGGGACGGCACGAGGUGAGACGCGGCAGCUGCGAGCUGGCGGCGAAUCAUGUCGGAGACACCACCGAAGAGCGCGAGUCCUGCCGGCAGCCGGGCCAGCCCUGGCAGCCCGAGCACGCCACGUGGAGGUCGGCUCCGGGAUAGGGUCAACUUUUUCGUGGAGUUGUUCGAGGACAAGGAGGGAAGGCGGAAUGCGGGUCAGUACAGGUCGCCCACGAACCCUAGACCCGGUUCCAGGCCAUCGUCUCGGCCAUCGUCCAGAGCUAGCGACUCGUCGUUCGAGGAGAGCUUCGAACGGUUGGUGGAGGAGGGCGAAUUGAACGGUUCGAAGGUGGUGAAGUUCGAGAAGAUCACGGUGAGGAAGAGCGUGAGAGAGAUCGGGACCGGUGGUGCGUCGACCCGUGCUUCUCUCGCCGAAUCGAGCAGGACGCCUAGCGAGGAACACGCCCUCGAGGACUCGGCCUACCAGAGUCACAGCCACGGUGCACCGAAUUACGGGAGUAAAUCGAGCUCUGUCACGUCGUUUACGAGAUUUCCAUCGGAGGAGAGUUUGUCGCAUAGGAGGGGCAGUAGCCCUCACCAGCAUCUGGACGAUCGAACGCCGUCCGAGUGGUACGCGGAAUAUCGCACUCAAAGCUUCCACAACGUCGCCACCAGGAUCGAAUAUGUGCGCAGUAAGAGCGAGUACGAUGCACACAUCGCUGAGAUUAAAGACGAACAAGAACGCGUUCAAAAGAAGACCUUCGUCAACUGGAUCAAUUCUUAUCUUUCCAAGAGAAGUCCACCGCUUCGAGUGGAUGAUUUAAUCGAGGAUCUCAAGGAUGGCACCCGCCUACUCGCAUUGCUUGAAGUUCUAUCCGGUGAGAAGUUGCCGGUGGAAAGGGGUCGUAACUUGAAAAGACCUCAUUUUCUUAGCAACGCGAACACUGCGCUUCAAUUCUUACAAAGCAAAAAAAUCAAGCUAGUGAACAUAAAUUCGUCCGAUUUAGUAGAUGGACGACCGCCCGUAGUGUUAGGCUUGAUAUGGACUAUCAUCUUAUACUUCCAGAUCGAGGAGAAUACCAGAGCAUUGGAAUAUCUUGGACAAACGUGGGGUAGUCAGAGCAGCUUGGAGAGCCUGAGUACCCAGGGGUCGGCGACCAGCGAGAGAAAACGCAUCAGUAGCGAGAAAUGGAAGCAGGGAGCGAGAAAGACUCUGCUUCAAUGGGUCACCAAUGCUCUGCCAAAGGACAUAAAAGUACGAGACUUCGGUGAAAGCUGGCGCGAUGGCAACGCCUUCCUGGCCAUCAUCGACGCGAUCAAAGCGAAUUUGGUGAACAUCGCCGCCAUGAGAGAAGCAACGAACAGAACACGUCUAGCGACCGCGUUCCACGUGGCCGAAUCCGAAUUGGGUAUCGCCAAACUCCUCGAUCCCGAGGAUGUCGACGUUCCUCAGCCGGACGAGAAAUCGAUAAUGACUUACGUUGCCCAAUUUUUGCACAAAUAUCCGGAACCAGGAUCCGCAGCUUCCGAUUCGUUCGCGGCUGUGCAACAAGAGUACGAUGGUCUGCUCGCUUGGCUUUACGAACGACUCAAAUACUUGGAACAGAUGGGCACUUCCCCGUUGGGUUAUGAUGAAUACGCCGCGGUAAAAGCGGAAGUCGAGCAACAGAGAAUUGUGUAUAAUAAGCUGCAACGUCUUGUCGAAACUCCUAGCAUGAUCAGCAUCACUCGAGAUUCUUGGAGACACGUGCAGAAUCUAUGGAAGACCUUGGAAAUGCUUAUGUUACGCUGGCUUUGGGUCUUAGAUUCCUACUUACCAGGCGAAUUAAGCGUUGUAGGCAGAUGGUUGUGUCGUGCAGAAGAUCUUCUAUUAUCCGACAACAACAUCCCAGAAGAAAUGACAGAAGAAACAGCCAACAUAAUAUCGAAUAAGCUCGAAGAACACAAGAAGUUCUUCCUCGAUCUUCCGUCCAUGACGGAGCGAUUCCAAGCGGCGAGAGGUUCCGAGGCUGCAUUGAAAGUGCAUCCUCAACAACUGAACGAGAUGGCAGCUCGAUUGGACAGCUUGCCGGAUCGUGCCGCCAAACGUAGAAUCCGACUCAAGUUUCUGGAGCACAAAUGUUGCCUUAUUGCUUUCUUGUUCCUAGUCGAGACGAAGUUGAAGGGAUGGAGCGUGAAAUAUGGCACGGAAGAGAGUGUACAUCAGAUGUUGGAGCAGUAUAGAAACUUCGUGUCUCGAAAUAGAAUUUUCCAGGAAUUCCAGAAAGCGUAUUUGGACAUGCAACAAAUCGUCGAGGAUUAUAAACGCGAAGGCAAUGUUGACCAAGAAGAAAGCGCGAAUAUUGACCGUUUCAUGAGAGAGACCAGCGACAAAUGGAAGAGCGUAUCCAUGGAUCUUCGUUGCGUGCAAAGCAUGCUCGAGGAAGUAGUAGCCUAUUGGCGUCGAUGGAACGUCAUCUCCGACGAGUUCGUAACUUGGUUGAAUCGCGCUGAACCUGCCUUGCACCUUCCCGAAGAAGAUAAAAUGGAAUUCUUCCAAGACAUAAGCGUAUGGAAGGAUAAACACCAACAACUAUCCGACACAGUGACAUUUUUAAUUGCCACAUCUGACGAAUCAGUCGCCUUGCAACUGAAACAACGUUAUUCGAAUCUCACGUCCAGAUGGGAAUCUCUGUUCCAAGAAGCGAAGCAAUAUAUGCACGCUGGAGACGUUAUAAGAAAUAGAAAAGAUUAUAGAGCAGGAGUGGAGACAUUGCAGAAAUGGCUGAGAAACGUCGAAACAGCUUUGUCAGCCACUGAUCUAACCACAACUGAAAAAAUUAAAGCUUAUGGUGAGAAGUUACAAAUCUUCCACAACGAGGUAGAAGGGAUCGAAGAUCUGUUCAAGAGUAUCAGCAAGAAGUUUCAAACGCUUAUUCAAGAUUUGUCUCGUGACGAAGUGGAUAAGAUGAUGAAUACUUUGAAGAAAGAGAAAGAAGCUCUGGUCAAAGUACGAGCUUUGAUACCGAUGCAAUUGCAUUUGUAUCAUCAACUUUUGGUCCAGCAAGAGUCUCUAGAAGCUGGUCAGAAGGAAAUAGCUGCCUGGUUGGACGAAGCAGAGAGAAUGUUGACCAAUAUCGAUCUGUCACGUGGUAGGGAACAUAUUCUGGCACAGUUAGAUCGUCACAAAGCUUUCUUUUCGAGAACUUUGUAUUACAAAUCUAUGCUAGAGUCUAAGAACAAAGUAUUCACUAGUAUAGUAAAGUCUGUGGACAGUCACGCUGACGUAGCCACCGCAGAAGGUGGAAGAACAUUGAGAGAAUUGAAUGAACGAUUCAACAGAGUUUCCCAAGCGGCUCAAGCCUUGGAACAACGACUUCAGGAAGCUGUCAGAUGCUGGACCAAAUUCAAAGAGUGCGAGAGACAAGUCUGCGAAUGGCUAUCAGUCGCAGAAACCAUGAUGAAUGAUAAACAUACCGAUAAUAGACGAUCUAUAGAAUAUCAUAAGAAUUUCUUCAGCAAUGUUAACGAGAAAUGGAUUCAAGACUUCGUAAACGCUGGACAGGAUUUGAAAAGUAUUUUGCCUGUCGAACAGCAAGCUCCUAUUUCAGAAGCUGUAGAAUCGCUUCAGAAACGUUGGAAGGAGGUAUUAACUUUCGCUCCUCUUCAUUUGAUGAGACUUGAGUUCCGUCUGGAUGAAGCUACGUUCUUACAAUAUCUGAAAGAGAUUGAAGUAGAAGUGAAUUCAGAGCAGCAGGCUCUAAUGAAGAACGACAAUGUGGAGAACAUACUGCAAAGGAACAAGGAAUUUUUCGUGAAUCGUGGCACUGUACUCGAGGUGGAGAAGUGCCUGCAGACUCUGAAGAAGAUCAGUGAUGCAUAUAGUCAAUUGAAACCUAACGAUACCAGCUUGGCUGAAGCCGCACAACACGCUGAAAAUCUGUGGGAGGAUUCUGCUCAGAGAGUGGAACGUUUGAGGGAACAACUGAAGCAAGUGCCUGAGCAAUGGGCUGCUUAUAAGAAGAAAUUCGACGAAAUGGUACGAUGGAUGGACCAUGUGGACAGUAAUUUGAGAACCAUAUUGCACGAGGUGAACACUUUAGAGGAAUUCGAGACAGAGAAAACGAUAUUCCAGAAAAUAUGCAGAGAAGCAGACAGCAAGCGCGAAGAAAUGAAAUGGUUGGUCCAAACUCUCGACAGCCUGACUUCCAAUCGUUCUGAUCAUGAAGCUCUUUCAGAGCAAAAUCGUUUAGAACAGUUGAUCACUCGUUACAAGAAUCUGAUACCAACAAUAGAGAUUACCAUGACGAAAACUGAUAUUUAUUCAAAGAGUUACACUUAUAGAAAGGAAGUUCGUGAAGUGUGCACUCUUUUGCACAAAGUCAAAGAUCAAUCUAAGAUAGAUGUAGUAGCAGAAAGUCCAGAAACUUUGAAGACCGCAGUCACUCAUCAAGAGAGCCGUCUUAGUCAGCUAGAACAACAGAGAUCAAAUAUCGUGAGCAUGCUACAACGUGGUAAGGAUCUUUUGAAAGAUCAACACGCUCCUCCAUUCGUGUCCUUGGAGGUACAGCAAUUAGAAUCCAGCUGGAAUGACACGUAUGGACAAAGCGUAGAGACCUUGAAGUCUUUGAAGAGUUCGCAAAAGUUGUGGAACACUUAUCUGCAGCAAAAAGAGGAGAUUUUGAAAUUGAUCGAACAAGCUGAAGAAGAAUUAAGAAAAAUCGAAUCGACUACUUAUUACGAUGCUUCACAAGUAUCAUCCGAUCUGCAGAGCAAACAAGAUUUCAGUUCCACUUUGAGAAAAUCUGCCGAGGAGUUGCUGAAAAAGUUGCAAGAGACGUAUAGCCAUUUGACAGAGGUCGCAGCACCGGAAAAGAAAGAAGUGUUGAAAAAAGAGAUCAUUCAUACCGAGAAGAGAAUGGAGACCACUUUGAAAACUGUCCAAGAGAAAGUGGUUUAUCUACAGGAGCACAGUACCAGAUGGAAUAAAUUCCAAACAAAAUUGAACGAAUUGCAAUUGUGGACUCAACAGAGUGCUCCGCAAUCAAUUGCAGAUACUGAGAAUUUGGCAACAACUCCUGAAGAGAUGGUCUACAGAACUGAGAGUUUACAGAAGGAAAUUAUAGAAAGAACUAGAACAUUGAAAUUCCUCGAAGAGGAAUCUCAAAAACUCGUAAAAGGUGGUGUUGAUAGUCUUCCAGCGAAGCAGUUGCGCAGUGAUAUCAUAACACUCGAAAGAAGCAUCGAAACCCUUCAAAAGAGCAUCGUAGCUCAACGUCAAACAGCUGAACAAAAUUUACAAACCUGGAAGGAGUACGAGAAAGGUAUUCAAGAGAUAAAACCUUGGAUCGAAGAAGCAGAAUCAAAAGCAGCUACUAUAGGCAGCAAACCAACCACUCUAGCUCAGGCAGCUCACAUGUUGGAAACAGCCAGAGCAUUUGAAAUACGAUGCCAACAACAUUUUCCUCAGAUUCAAGAUCUAUCUUUGAUCAGUCAACGAAUAACAGGAAAGACAUCAGCUUCCGACGAAGUGGAUGCCGUUCAUACUCGUUGGAACGCUGUGCACGACAUAGCAGUUCAAACGACCACGAAAUUGGACAAGUUGGUUACUUCGUGGAACAGCUUCGAAUCUGAGAUAAAAGAAUUCAACGAAUGGUUGGAAAGAUCCGAGAGAACGGUACUCAUGGAACCAAAUGCCGAGACACCCGAAAUAUCAGUGCUAGAAAAGGAACUGGCACGGUUGAAGGAUUUCAACAAGACUAUAUCUGAUCAUCAGGCGCAAUUGAUAUCGCUAACUCAGGUUUCUGAUCACAUCAGCCACGGAUUAUCCUUGGAAGGAGCGACUAAUUUGAAGGCUCGAGUCUCGGACAUUAAAGCCAGAGUCAGCAAGCUGGCCGACACGGUUAGAUUGCAGAUCAACCGUGUGUCCGACUCGUUGUUAGCUCGCCAAGAAUUUCAAAUGAAAAUCACCGAUUUCGAGAACUGGAUGUCGCGAUUGAGAUCCAAUAUCGCUGAGAUCAGCGAUGCUACUGUCGAUACGGUUGACACGAAUCUUCAAGCCGUGCACGCAUAUAUCCAAGAACAUUCUGAAAAGCAGCCAAGCUUGGAAGCUAUCUGUCAAGAGGUGAAGGAUAUAUGUCCCAAAGGAUCUAUGCAGGCGACGGUUGCCUUGGUUGAUACUUAUACCAAUCUGGAGAAAAAGUACAAGGCUCUGGGAGAUGAUUUGCAACAGAAAAAGAAAGGAUUAGAGAAGUGGAUAGAGCUAUUGAGUUGGUUGAACGAUGCCAAUGCUCAAUUGAGCCAUUGUAAGUACGAAGCUGAAGCUAGAAAGCCUACCAUCGCUGAUUUGGAGAGAUUUUCGUCCGAAUUACGGAUUAUUUAUGACAAGAUUGAAACGUGGAAACAACAUGUUUUGCCUGACAGCGCUAUUGGAAUACAAAUUAGGGACAAACAGGGAAAACCUCUUUCUGCGUCAGGUUUGUUGAUCGACUUGGAGAAUAAAGCAUUGUCUCUGCAAAAUGAAAUAUCAGCGAAACGCGAUAGACUGGAAAAUCUUGGUGCCAGAUGGAACAACUUCAGAACAUUGCAGCAAACUAUCACUGAGAAGAUAUUGAAUACGCAAACUGCUCUUCAAGAAACGGUUUAUAAUGUUGAUUCAUGCAAACAAUUAGCUCCUGCUGUGGAAAAGAUCGAUCAAUUAAUCGAAGAACAUCAGAAGAGGGAACAAGAGAAAGAGAUCCUCCACUUUGAAGGUACUUCCUUGAUGAAAGAGGAUCAAAGAUCGACGACUAAUAUUCAAGUAGUUCUAUCCUCUGUCGAUGCUAAUUGGGAGAAGGUGAACGAGCUUCUUCGAGAACAGAGGAAGAAAUAUGCUGAUAUGAAUACAGACUGGAAAGAUUACGAAGAAGCCAGACAAAAGGUGGAGAAAUCUAUCAAAGAUGCAAUUAAUUUGUGUCAAUCGGUGAAAGGAAUAUCUUAUGAUAUCACUCAAGCGAAUAUUACUUUAGAAAAGCAUAAGAAAGCUUUGGAUGCGCUGAAGAAAGGCAGACAUUUCUUGGAUAAAAUGGAUUCGAAAGCACAGCAAUUGACGAAAGAAGCAUCCCUCAUGCCUAGAUUCAAUUCUGAAUUAAUCGAAAAUGAUUUGACAGAAGUUCGACAACGAUACCAAGAUACUUACAACGAUAUCAGUGAGAAAUUGCAAGCCUAUGAGACUCAGGUGAUCAUUUGGAAACAGAUAGAAGAAUCGAAGUCUGAACUCAUCAAAUGGCUCACUAAUACAAACGAAGCGUUGACCACUGCAUUCGAACGUUUAAUGGAUGCUGAGAACUGUCAAGUAAGAUUGAUAAGAUACAGAGAGGAGUUGCCUGGUUAUCAGCAAGUGUAUCAAAAUAUCGUGACGAAAAUAGAACAACUUGUAAAAUUGAACAACAAUUCUGACAUCCCUACUCUGAAUUCCUUGCAUCAGUUAUUAGACGACCAAUUCAAUGUGGUUAAAACUUCAGCGGAAAAAUUAGAAUCUUUAACAUCUACUUUGAACGAGAGAGAAAGGACAAUUAGACAGGAAAUGAAGCGAUGUGGUGAUUUGAUCUCGAAGAUCAGAGAAGAUAUAAUCAAGUGUGACGAUUUGACUGGUGAGAACACUAAGAUUCUUGGUCGUAUCAACAAAUGUCAGGAGCUGAAAACAGAAUUAGAGCAAUGUGACUAUACUUUGUCCAAAGUUGAAGAAACAUUGACGAAGAUUUCUACAGAGUAUCCUAGUAUCUCCAGAUCGAGUUUGCCAAAGGAAUUGCAAGCGCUUCAGCUUCGAAGAGACGGCGUGGCCAAUCAUGCUAACAAAGUGAUAGCAACACUGGUAGCAUUCUUGACUAAAUUAUAUCACGAAAAAUUUGGAGCUCUUCAACGUAUGGUUGUAACGCUCAAAGAGAAAGUAGCUUGGUGUGAACCUGAGCAAAGCAGUGAUCGUUACAACUUGGAGGUAAAAAUGGCUUCGUUGAUGGACGUAGAAAUUGGAAUCGCCGAUUGCAUAGCUAGAAAAGAGGACACUGACAACUCCUUAAAGCUUCUAGCAUCCGUAGAAAGUGCCGAAACUAUGGCCGCCUUGAAGUCAGAUCGUGACAAAGUUGAAGUCGACUUGGAAUCAUUGAAGAGCAGUUAUAAUAAAAUUAAGAAUGAUCUCGAACGAAAUAUCGCUCUGUGGCAACGUUAUGAGCUCACUUCCGAGAAUGUGCUGUCCUGGCUGAAAGAGAAUGAGAAUAAAAUCAGAGCAGAGGCUUCCGCGUUGCUCAAUUUGGAUGACAUCGAGCAGAAAAUCGCAGAGAUGACCGAAAUGCAGAAAAGUGUGAUGGAAUAUCAAAGCGAACUGAAAGAUUUGACUGUUUUGGCCGAAGAUAUCACCAGGGUUAGCUCCGAAUCAAGAGUAAAUCAAUACAUCAGUCACUUGAACACGCGUUACGAUUACGUGUUAAAGUUUUUGGCCCAACAUUUGGACAGACUUCGAGAAUUGAAGGAGAACAGAGAUCAAUAUGUGGCUAACAAGAAGAAACUCGAAGCUUGGAUCGAGAAUGCAGAGAAAACAUUGAAAGCCUACGAUGAAAUCACUGGUCCAAAACCUAUAACUUUCUACCAAUCACGUUUGAAAGAAUUGAAAGCAUUUGCCGAGGAACGAGAAGUUGGACAAGCUAUAUUGAACAAGACAGCGGAAGCUGGCGAAGCUUUGUUUGCUAGAAUUACACCAGAUCAGAGAGAAAUGAUAAGGACGGAAUUGAGAAACUUCCGUAAUCGUGUGGAUGCAAUGGCGGAUCGUUCUAACGUGAUUUAUAAAAAAAUAGAGAGCGAUAUGAUGCACAGAUCUUCCUUCGAAGACAAAUUCUCUCAAGUGAAACAGUGGUUAGCAGAUGCUCAAAAUAAAUUAGGAGAAAAGCAAGAUUUACUGCCAACGUUACAAGAAAAGAAGCUAGCUCUUCAUUUGUACAGAGCCGUGGCACAGGACGUUACUGUUCACAAGAAUAUUCUUCAACAACUUCAAGAUAGAUUAAGUACAGCACCAGACGAUGAUGCGAGUGAAAUGUUAGGCAACGUGAUCGAGGCUUAUGAAAAACUGUCCAACGAAGUCGAAGGGCGAAUUAAUAUAGCGGAGAAACACGUUUCGAAUCACGAGGCUUAUCUUCAAACGUUUGAGAAGACUCGAGAUUGGAUCAACACGGUGAUCAACGAAGGAACGCCGAUAGUCGAGGAUUUUUCAGUGGAACGAGAAACAGCGCAAAGUAAAAUCACCACCAUCGAGAAUCUUUUGCAACAGAAAGCGGAAGGGGACCGAAUCUUGGCUGAUUGUAACCAGCAAUUGAAUAUUGUCUUGGAACAAACCUUUAUGCCAGGUCAUCCAGCUUUGUUGUCCAAUUUUGAGCAACAAAAGAAAAUGUGGGAAGAUUUCUUGAAGCGAUGCGUGGCAGCUAGAGACAAAUUGAAACAUAUGUUCAAUCAAUGGUCCGAGUUUGAGAAGAUCGUAGAAGGUUUGGAGGCCUGGAUCAAGCAGAUGGAGACCCAGUUGAAGGAUCAAAGUUUGAAGAGUACGGAAGAAGCAAAGAGAGCUCAUUUGCAGAAGUUGAAGUCCUUGGAAGAAAGUAUCAUCGCGAAAGGAGCUGAAUUUAAUGCCGCCAUUGAGAAGAGCCAGAGCAUCGAAGCUGAGGCAGACCUAGUCACAAGAGUCUCGAGACAAACCACUAAAUAUCAAGCUAUUAAAAAUCAAAUAAAGGAAGCUGUAAUGCGAUACGAACAAUUUGUGAAAGAGCACAACACUUUCAACGUGAAAUAUAAUCAAUUAUUGCAAUGGAUCACGGAUAUUAAAUCGGAAUUGAAGAAACACAGUGAGAUCGUGGGUGAUUUAUCCGUAUUGCAGAGCAGACAGAAGCUCAUUCGAGAUUUGGGCGAUACUAGAACGAAGGAGAACGCUAGAUUCGAAUCUGUCAUAGAUCUUGGAGAGAAAUUAUACGUUCAUACGUCGCCUGACGGUAGAGAAAUCAUCAGACAACAAUUGAGAAAUUUGAGAACCUUGUGGGAUGGAUUCACCGAAGAUCUACAGAACACUAUGCAAAAAUUAGACCAAUGUCUGAUGCAAUUCGCCGAAUUCUCUUUAUCUCACGAGCAAUUGACAGCUUGGCUUCGAGACGUGGAACGCGCGAUGCAUCAACACACAGAAUUGAAAUGUACUUUGGAGGAGAAACGAGCACAGUUGCAGAAUCACAAAAUUAUGCACCAAGAAAUCAUGUCUCAUCAAUCUUUGGUAGAGUCUGUUUGCGACAAGGCGCAACAGUUGGUAGAUCAGACCAAGGAUACUUCUUUGAACGUCUUUCUACCAUCUAUUAAGCAAUUAUUCCACAACAUUGUGGCAAAAUCAAAGGAUUUGUUAGAAAACUUGGAUGAUUGCGUAGAGAAACAUCAUAGAUUUAAUUUACAAGUGAAAAGCUUUUCUGAUUGGUUGAAUGGCGAGAAAGAUAAGCUUGCUGAAUGCAACGAUAUGACUGGAGAAAGAACGGAUAUUUGCAGAAGACUUGCCACUUUGGCCAUAUUGAAGGAUGAUCAGAUGCAGGGUGCUGAGCAGCUUGGAAAAUUAAAGGAACUUAGCGACACGGUUAUUAAGAGAACCGCGCCGAAAGGAUGGGAUGCUAUUAAUAAGGAGAUCACUAUUUUGGAAGGCAAUCUUCGUCAAUAUCUAAGUGAAAUAGAAUCAGUGGAAGAUAAGCAAAAAACAGCAUUGCAGAAAUGGCAAGACUUCGAAGAUAAAUUGGAAACGCACACAAAAUGGUUCUCAACGAUGGAAGCUGCAUUCAGAGACCAACAGUUGCAGCCUACUUUGCAAGACAAGGAAGCUCGUUUGCAAGCAUUGAAAGAGAAACGUGAUGCCAUAUUAAAGGAAGAAUCGAAGAUAGACGAGUUCAUUGAUAAGUCUCAUAGUUUGCUUCAUGCAAGUGGGGUUGAGCGUAUCAAGCCUUUGAUCUCCCAAAUAAGCAAUAGAUAUCAGUUAUUGCACGUGCUUAGUAAAGAAGUAGUGACUAGAUGUCAAAGUGUUGUGGACGAUCAUAGAACGUAUGAAGAGAAACUAAAGGUCGUAGAUGCUUGGCUGACUCAAUUAGAACAGAGUUUAGCCAAUUUGAAGAAAGACGAGACAGGUGGAAAUCUGGAAGAGAAAGUAUCUCGUCUGCAGAUAUUGUUGGCUGAAAAGGAACAAGGUGAACACAGAUUAGGAAGUUUGAUAUCAUUUGGAGAAAGGAUUCUUGCUGAUACAUCGGCUCAAGGAAGAGAAAUUAUUCGCCAUGAGUUGAGACAAGCUCGAGAACGAUGGGAUAAACUUGUGGAAGGCAUAGCCGAGCAACAGAAGAAGCAAGAUGCUCAAUCUUUGCAAUGGACCAAUUAUCAAGAGACUCUGCAACAAAUUUUGACCUGGUUGGAUACUAUGGAAAGAUCAGUGAAACAGGACUCGACGAUCACUUGGUCUUCUCUUCAAGAAAUUAAAUCCAAAUUACUGAAAAGCAAGGGAAUGCAUCAAGAAAUUUUGGCUUAUAAACGUAUCAUUGAAGGCGUUUCAGAAAAAGCAAAUGCACUAUCGUACACAUCUCAAGCACCAUCAGACGCUCAACAAAAAGCUGCUUCGGUUUCUGGAAGAUACGAGGAUUUGGUCGAAAUGUCACAGAAAAAUAUAUCCAAUUUGGAAACUCUUCUAGAUACUUUCCAGCAAUUCUACGAUCUACAAAAAUCUUAUCAAGAUUAUCAGAAGCAACAAUGGGAGCAAUUAGCCAAUUACAGCGACUAUACUGGCAACAAAGCUGCCUUACAAAUUCAAUUGACUAAAAUCAUGGAGCUUCAAGAUGGCCAGAGGGAAGGAGAAUUGAAAUUAGAUAUUCUCAGUGAACACGUGUCUCAGAGUGCUCAUAAUUUAUCACCCAGAUCAUUAGAAUCUAUGGAAAGAGACUUGGCUACGUUAAGAUUCGAGCACAAAAAGUUCGCCACAGCUGUAAACGAUAUUAUUCGAUGCAUCGAAGAGAGAAUUCAACAAUGGAGCGAAUACGAGAACUCUUUAGAACGUUUAUUAGCUUGGUUGACGGAUGCAGAAUCGUCUUUGAAGAAUUAUUCUCUGAAGAACACUCUCGAUGAGAAGCAAGAGCAACUUGAAAAGUAUCAGGCACUACAAAAAACCGCCUUGUCGUGGGACACGGAAGUGACGGAACUGGUGGCCCUAGGAGACCACCUGGAUCAAAUGUUGAUCGUGAAUCUACGGCAAAAUGAGGCAGAAUUCGAUAAGAUGAGCGACGAAUCUUCCGAACUGAUGCAGAUUAGCGGUGAAACAAGAUUUUCUGCUAGUGUUCAACAAAUCACUUCUCGGUUCCAAUCUAUUCAAGCAACUGCUAAAGAAUUAGUUAAAAAAUGUGAACAAGCAGUGGCGGAUCACGCAGCCUAUCUUGAACGUUACAAACAAUGUUCCGAAUGGCUGGCAAAUACACGAACUACUUAUCAAUCAAUCAAGGAUGACUUUAGCGGUACUCGCCAAGAAUUAACUUCGAACGUGGCAACCUUAAAAGAUCUUCUAACUCGACAAUCUUCGGCAACUCUUUUGAUCAAUAAUACCGUCGAAGCUGGAGAACGUUUGUAUCCUACCACAGGCAUGGAAGGCAGAGAAAUCGUCCGCCAACAAUUAUUAGACCUCCAACGAGCUUUCGAGGAGCUCUACGACAGCAUUGCCUCCACUGAACGAGAGUUGCAAUCGAAGAUAUCUCGUUGGUCCGGUUUCGACGAGUCCAACGAAUCGUUCGACAAGUGGCUGAGAACUGUCGAGACUCAAUUGAAACCAGAAAUCGAGUUGAAAACCACGUUGGACGAGAAACGAGCCCAAUUACAAAUUUAUCGUUCCUUUUUGCACGAUAUCCAAUCUCAUCAACAAGAUCUACUCGAUCUUCGAGACAAGGCUGACAAUUUGCCGGAUUCCACGGACAAGGUGCAUCUGACGCUGAAGAAAUUGAGCGAGAGACACGCAACCGUGUUGAAACGUGCGGCUGCUUUCGUCGAAAGAUAUGAAGGCAUCGUUAGUGAUCAUCAACAGUACAGCAAGGCUGUUCUGGAUACCCACGAGUGGAUAGAUGCGACUCACAAUGCGGUUAUUCUUUGGGGUGACACGGAACUCGAACGUGUGUCUCUUCAUACUAAUCUGGACAGAUUGAGGAACUUAUUGCAGGGUUUACCAGAGGAUAAACCAAGAGUGCAACAGAUAAGAACACUAGGCGAGAAAGUGAUUCCAGGCACGUUGGAGUCUGGACAGAUAAACAUUCGAUCUCAGAUCGAUUCCUCGCAGCAAGAGUGGGAAAGUCUGGUCACUGCGGUGAAGUCUACUAUAGAAACACUGGAGAAUAAGCUUCAACAAUGGAACGAGUUCGAAACGUCGAAAGAACGUUGUUUGGCUUGGAUGAGAGAAACUGACACCAAGCUUCAUGCGGUGGACUUGAAGGCUACCUUGCAAGAGAAGAAAGAUCAAUUGGAACUUUUGAGAACUCUUCAGGGACAGGUGCGUGCGAAAGAAUUGGAGAUAGACGCUGUUACCGAGAAGGCUCAACAGCUUCAUAAGAAUAUCACGUCUCGUACCACUCAUAUGUCGGAAUUGAGCAUCAAGUAUCAACAAAUAUCGAACAAAGUGAAAGAUUUGAACAGUCGUUGGCAUCAAUAUGUGACUACUCAUCAAGAAUUCGAUAAUCAAGUGGCAGAGUGUACUAGAUGGUUAGACGACAUUAGGAAGAAGUUGGCCUAUUGCUCUGACUUAGGUGCAUCCUCUCAGAAAGAUUUGGAGAACAAGAUGGAGAUAGUGCAAGACUUAUUAUUGUACAAGGAAGAUGGGUUCGCCAAGGUACAAGGUAUUGUGGAAUUAGCUCAGGCAGUCUUGGCAAACACGGCUCCAACUGGACACAAAGCUAUCAACGAUGCUGUUGGAAAGCUGCAAGAGCAAUGGAGUGCUCUGGCCUCGAAGAUGUUGGAGACUAAAACUAAUUUGGAUGACUCUAUCAAUAAAUGGGCUGGUCUUCUAGAACAGAUACAAUCGAUGAAUAAGACGGUGGAUUACAUGCAGUCUGCUUUGAACGAGUUCAUGCCUUUCCAAACUACCAUGUCUGAGAAGAGAUGUCAACUGGAACGUAUCAAGGCUUUAGAAGAGAAAGUUCGAUGUGAGAAUAUUGAAGUCGAUAGUCUGAAGAUCAAGGUCGCUGAGAUGAUCGCCAGUGGACCUCAAGGGUUAGCUGCAUCACAGGCACAGAGCAUUUUGAACAGAUUCGAUACGUUGUUUGAAAAAAUCAAGUCUUUACUGACCGAACGUGAAGAACAGUACAAGGAUCAUAGAUUAUACAAGGAGGCGCACGAUGAUAUUAUUAAUUGGUUGAGUCGAGCUCGCGAGAAGAUUCCAUCUAUGAAGCAAAGACCUUUAAGCGAUAAAUUGGCUAUCGAAAACGCUGUGGCUCCACUGGAGAGUUUGUUGAACAAGAAAGCUCAAGGAGAAUUGUUGGUGGAACAUCUUCAGCAUACUGGGAAGGUUGUAUGCGCGAGCACGAGUCCUCAAGGUCAGGAAAUUAUAAAGAACGAGGUGAAAGCUUUGACUCAGAGUUUCGAGGAACUUUUCAGAGAAAUCAAGCAACAAAAGGAUCAAUUAGAACAAACGGUGAGCCAAUGGCGCGAUUACAAGGACGAGUACGAAAGAUUAAGCGAUUGGUUGCAGCAAUUUGAUAUUCUCAUAAAGGCGCAAAAGAAUUCUCUAUUACCAAAUGUAGCUGAGAAGGAAAAACAGGUGCAAGAAGUGAAAGAGAUAUUGGAGAAUUUGCUGAAAGGACAGGAACAAAUCGAUAAAUUCAACAAGACAGCGUCCAGUCUACUUUCGUCUCACUUGGACACCUAUAUAAAUAACCAGCUUCGACACUUAAACUCGCGUUAUCAGGUUCAAGUAAAUCUUGCCAAAGAUGUUCUCAACAAAGUCGAAACCAAUCUAGCUCAGCACAAAGAAUACGAAGCUAAUUUGGAAAAGACACGUGCCUGGAUCGAGAACGCGAAACAGAUUAUUCGAAAGGGGACAGAAGCAGCGUCGACUAGCAGCAGAGAAGAAUUGCAGAACAGAUUGGACAAUAUCCAAGAGUUGUUGAGGAAACGGGAAGAGGGUCAGAACUUGGUCCAUCUGACGGUGAAUUGUGGCGAGAAAGUGAUGAGAAACACUCGGUCGGACGGGCGAGAAGAGAUCAAUGCUCAAUUGAAAGAGAUCCAAAAUGAUUGGGAGAGAUUGGUGAAGAAGAUCUCGACGACGAAAGUGCGUUUGGAAACGAGUCUUCUUCAAUGGGCUGAUUACAGCUCGUCUUAUCUGCAAUUACAGCAAUGGAUCAAUGAUAGAGAAGCUAAAUUGCAACAAGUCUGCGAACAGAAGGUAUCUAAGGCUAGAAAGGGUCUGGCUGGAUUGAGUUCCUUGGCUAUCGGAGAAAGGAAGGCGAAUCUCAGGCAAACGAACAGCAUCGUUCAAGAUAUAGUGGCGUUCGAACCGAUGAUUCAAUCGGUUACAACGAAGGCCGAGGAUCUUCGACAGGCCACACCAGCCACGGAAAUUUCAAUCAAAUAUGAAACAUUGAGUAAACAAGCUCAGGAAUUGUAUGCCAAACAGAAGGAGACUGUAGAGCAACAUCAAGCAUUUAUAGACAGUGGAAAUGAAUUUAUACAGUGGAUAAGAGCUGCCAAGGAGAGGCUUGGUAAAUGUUCCGAGCCUACUGGAGAUAAGGAAUCGUUGGCGAACAAGAUCACUCAAUUGAAGGUACUGCAAAGUGAGCUGCCAGAGGGUCAGAAGAAAUUGCAACACGCCUUGGAGCAAGGAAACGCGGCAUGCCAGAUCGCGGAUGAGGAGGACAAAGAGAUUAUUGAAGAGGAAGUGGCGUUGUUGCAAGAAGAGUACGAUAGCUAUGUAGACUCCCUGAACAACACCAAGAGUUUGUUGGAGGUAGGAAUAGUGAAAUGGACGGAGUACGAAGAUCAAUUCUCAGAAGCUACCGAAUGGCUCACGCAGACGGAACAGUUGGUGCAAUCGUUCAACAAACUUCAGGAUAGUUUGGAAGAGAAGAAGAAUGUUCUCGAACAGUUCCAGAUCCACUUACAGACUUUGUUCGACUGGCAGAAGGAAUUAGAUCGAUUGAAUAUGAAAGCUCAGAUGUUGCUGGAAACUUGUGCGGAUACUAGAAUUUCUAACGCUAUUACUCAAUUGACAACCAAGUAUAAUGCUCUUCUAUCUUUGGCCAAAGAAAUAAUGAGACGUCUCGAGUUACAUUAUCAGGAACAUCAACAACAUAAUACGUUGUAUCAAGAAUGUCAAGAUUGGAUAGAACGAACACGUGACAAAUUGAGCGAGUGUAAGGAACUUCCAAGCACUUUAACCGAGGUGAACAAUAAAUUGCACACUUGCAAAGCCAUCAGACAAACACUGGAACAAGGCCAGAACAAGCUGCGUUAUGCUCUCGAACUGAAAGAAAAAGUGAUCAUGAACACGGAACAAAAUGGCGCCGCAAAGAUUCAAGAGGAUACAGAGAAUCUGAAGACGGAGUUUGAGAGAUUAUUAGUGAACGUGGAAGACAUAAGACAGAAGCUUUCAGCUAGAGCAAGCGCAUUGGAGGAAUUGAACAAAAUUCACCGAUUGACUACAGAUUGGAUCGAAGAGAUCGAGGGUAAAAUUCAACCAGGUGAAAUGUACAAGAACGAUCUGAGCGAAAAACGAGCGGUAUUGGAGAAGUAUAAGACAGUUCAGAGGGAUAUUCAAGGUCAUGGUGAAACCGUAGACCGAUUGAAAGCUCGUUUGGCUGAAGAUUCCAGUAUACCUAUUGGUCCUUAUCAAUCCACUAUUGCCAAGUACGAUGAAUUGACUAAAUUGAUCGCUGAAAAGAUUAAGAAUUUGGAAGAACAAGUGAACGAUCACGAAAAGUUCCAACAAGCUCACAACGAAGCAGCGGACUGGGUUCGCCAUACAAAGCUGGAACUUCAACAAAACUGCGACACUCAUGGGGAGAAGGAGCGAAUCAUCGAACGAGAGAACAAAGUGAACCAGAUCAUAGCUUCCCUUCCCAAAGGAGAGAGUUUGAUCUCGAAGGUGAUCCAACUCAGCGAUGGUGUGAUCGCUAGUACAGGUCCAGAAGGUCAGGAAACCAUCAAACAGGACAUGAAACAACUGCAAGCAAACUGGAAAUCUCUACAAUCUCAGUGUCACGAGUCCCAGAAGACUUUGUUCAAUUGUAUCGCCAGUUGGUCUCAAUUUACAACUGCUUUAGACAGUAUGAAGAGAUGGAUAGAUCAUUUCCAGAAGAAGGUGAACGACGAACAAUCGAAAGAGAACAAAACUCCGGAGGACUUGGUCCGGUGCAAAAGCCUCGUGGAGGAAGCUAUCCAACAGAAACCAGUUUUGGAGGAUCUGAACGACAAAUGCGAGGCCUUGCUGGAGCUGAGCGCUUGCAGCUGGGCUCGUGACAAGACUGUGCAAUUGCAAUCUGCUUACACGUCUCUGUUGACCGAUAUGCAAGGUCUUGUUUCUCGAGUGGAGAAGAAUCUGUCCGAUCAUACCGAGUUCUUGAAGGCGAAGAAGGAAAUGGAAGAUUGGUUGCGCAUUGCUCGAGGCUCGGUACAAGAUUGUAUGGGCGUUGGAGAUGCUGAAUGGGCUAAGGAUAAGUUGGAAACUAUCAAGAUCGUAGCAACAAGAAUUACCGAGGGUCAACAUUUAUUGUCAACAUUGCAAACUGCCUUCACGAAAGCCAUAGACACAGCUGUACCAGAGCAACAGGAUCAACUGAGAUCAGACAUGGCGGGACUCCUUUCCAGCUGGGAACAGCUCAGCAUCGAUUUGAACACCGUUCAAGCUCAACUUAAAUCCCUGUUGCAUCGCUGGGACGAUCAUUCAGAAGCUCAUGGAAAAUUGAAACGAUGGUUGGAAGAAACGGAGAAUAGUAUGCAAGACCUUCCGGACACGAAAGGAGAAUUCGGUGAUAUGAAGACCAUGCUUGAACGUUAUAAACACAUCCAGGAGGAAGUACGCGGCAAGAAGACCGAGUUGGAUCAUUUAAUGGACGAAGCUAGCGAAUUGUCGAAACUGGCGAAGAAAAACACGUCUCUGGAACGAACGAAGGAACUGUUGAAACGAUGGGAGAAUUUGAGCGAAAACGUCGACGAGAGGAAGAGGUUGAUCGAGAACGAGAUGCAGGAAUACAACGCGUAUCACGCAGCCUUGCAAGAGACGGAGAAGUGGCUGUUGCAAAUAUCUUUCCAAUUAAUGGCUCACAAUUCUCUCUACAUCACGAACAAGGAGCAAACGGUGUCGCAAAUUCAGCAGCAUGAAAACCUGCUCGCGGAAAUCGAGAAUUAUACGAGUGUCUUGAACGAUUUAAAGUUGAAAGGGAAUGGACAGAUCACUCGAUACGUCGCUGUCAAUCCCGAAAUUAAAACGAUCAUCGAAACGCAAUUGCAAAAUGUUCAAGAGAGCUACAACUCCUUGUUGAACACGGCAUUGCAAAUAAAGAAACGAUUGGCGGAAUCGUUGGUCAAAUUCCAGGAGUACGAGAACACUCUGGAGAGUAUUAUGAAGAAUUUGGACGCGUAUGAACCGGAAAUCGCUCAAGAAAUGGAAGCGCCGUUGGAUACUCUCGACGCAGCGAAACAGAGAUUCGAAAAUGCUCGCACGUUGCACAAUAAAUUGCAAGGGGAGAAGACAAGGCUUGCUCUGGCUGUCGAGGCUUGCGAGGCUGCAGUGGCAUGUGUCUCCAGACCCGGAAGUCCUCUGGAUGCGCCGCCUGUGCAGAUUCCGGCUAGGGAAGUCGAAGUGAGAAACAAAUUGGAGGAAUUGAUCGAUCAGGCGCAGGGACACUUGAUGAACGUAACCAAGGCUCUAAACGAGUUGGAAGAGCAAACCCGACAGAAGAACGUUCUCCGUGCGUGGAUAAACCAGCAAAGGGCUCUGUGCGCCGAAUGGAAAUCUCGUCCAGCGAAAUUGAGAUCCGAAGCAGCUCUUGCCGAAUUGCAAGCUAUGAACGAUCUGCUUGGAAACGUUGGAGAACGUCGAACUCACGCAUUGACAGAGCUGUCUCUUCACGAGGACGAUCAGGAUAUCGAGGAGGGAUUGAACAAAUUGGAAGCAGAGUUGACGGAUGCCAUCGCUGGGAAACAAGCGGCGCAGGAUCUGAUUCAGAAGUAUAGGACACAGGUGCAGAACAUGCAAUCGUGGUUGGACACGUUGUCCAAAAAGGUGGACGUUAUCGAGAAAGGGAACGGGCAGACGAUUGGACAGAAGAUAGCUAGCGUGAAAGAGAUCACGACCGAGUUUGAGUCCCAAGGGCCCGGAAAAUUGAACGAGGUGAAGACUUUGAGCGAUCAGGUGAUGGAUUCGGUGAGCAAUCUGGAUUCUCAGCAAAUAGAAGAGCAAAUUAAAUCGGUGGAGAGACGAUACGCUGAUAUAGGGAAGAAACUGCAGAGGAAGGCGCAAGUGUUGGACAUGACUGCUCAAGGUAUUGAAGCUACGAGGCAGGAGAUCGAAGAGAAUAGAGAUUGGAUUCAGCAAAAGAAGAAGCAAGCUCAGAUGUCCGAGCCUGUUGGAUUUGACAGCAAGCAGGCAGAAGAAAGGCUUCUUGCUUUGAAGGCAAUGUUGAAGGAAGCAGAGGGAAAACAAAUGGUGAUCGAUACGUUGGAGAAACGAGUAGGAAACAUGCAGAACGAAUUAGAGUCGAACGAGCAACAACAAUUGGAAAAUGAAACGAAAGCUUUGCGUGGUGAACAAUCCCAACUUUGCACGAUUUUGACAGAGGGAAUCUCUAGUGCCACGGCUGCGGCUGAUGCCCGUCGUAAGUUCGAGGCUGAUCUCGAACGAGCACGAAGCUGGAUCAAAUCGAAGAGCAACAAUUUGAAGAAAUUGAGCGGUUAUCUCCCUCUAAAGGCGUCGAAAGUCGAGCAAGAUAUCGUGCAACACGGUGAAUUGGAAACUGAUAUCGAUUCGUUCAGCGAGAAAGACCUGAACGACAUUUUGAAACAAGGAAACAAUUUGCUGAAGGAGUGCAGCGAAGAGGAUCGUGCCAGAUUGAAUAAGAUCUUGGAUGAAUUGAACAAAGACUACGAGGAGCUGAAAAGUGAGGCACAAGAGAAACAAGCUGCGUUGGCGGAUCUUCUUCAAGGGCGAAAGGCUUUCGAGAGUGAAAUAGACAAGUGCCAGAGAUGGAUCAAUGAAGCUGAAGUUGCUACAUCUUCGGAUCUGAGAACUUCCAGUAUUGAUAUUCUAAGAGAGCAACUGGCUAAGUACGAUCGUUUGAAGAAAGAGGCGAAGGAGUACGCAGAUGAUAUCGAGAAAUUAAUGCAACAAGGAAAAUCGAUUCUUCCAACCGUGACCGAUGCCGAUAAGCUCGAAUUAAACGAACAGUUGCAAAACAUGAAGGAAGCUCACGGUAGAGUUGCUGGAAUAAUAAAUGAAAGAGCCCUCGCCCUUCAAAAGAGCAUCGACGAAGCCGAAGAAUCAUUGGCACGAGUAGCUGAAGCCAUUCAAUACAUGACAGACGUUCAGAAAGAACUUCACGAGCUUAACAAACCUAUUGGUUCACGCGUGGAAGACGUCGAGGCUAUGUUGGAUGCAUACGAGAGAAUAUUGAACGAUUUGAAGGCGAACAAGGCGAAAUUGUCCGAUUUACAGUCGAUCAACGUGGCUGAUCUUCAUGGGGUAUUAACUCAGCAAGAUGAUCUCAUGAAAGCUAUAGAGUCCCAAAUUGCGAAACUUCGCCAGUUACUUUUGUUACGUCAACAAUUCAUCGCUUUGAUCACAGAGAUAACUACUUUCAUAGCUAAAUAUACGGAGAUCGUUCGAGAUAUCGAGAAUUCUGGUCAAACAACGGAGGAAAAGAUCAAAAGGUACGACGAUGCAAUUCUGAAGAUCCAAGAAUGCGAAGCUACCCUCGCCAGUGCAACGGACAAGGGUCAACAAAUCGCAGCAGAAGGCUCAACUGUGGAUAGAAACAAUAUAACGGAACAACUGCAAUCUCUGAAACAACAAUUACAAGGUCUGAGAAGAGCUGUGGAAACUCAAAGGGAGCAGCACGAAUUAGCAGCAGCGGAACACAAGAGAUUGGCGAACGAAUUGGCUGAGAUUCUCGAUUGGUUGGAGGACAAAGAGAAAGAAGUGAAAUCUAGACCUCUUCUGGAAAGAGAUCCAAUCAGUGUGGAAGCAGAAUUGCAAAAACAUAACGAGCUCUGCGAUGCAGUCAACGAACAUCUCGAUAGAAUCAGAAAUUUGAAGAAUUCUGUUCCCCACGAAGAAGGAAUGCCUGGUUCGUUGAAGGAAAUGCUGAGCGAGGCUGUCUCUCUGUUGACCUCUUUGCCCAGAGAAAUGGAGGAACGUGGAAAUUAUUUGGAGAGCAACAUGAAGCUGAGACAAGAGUAUGCUGCUCUUACCGAGAAACUUCGAAGUUGGGUUCGAGAGGCAGAGAUUCGAUUGGAAAGUGACAAGGAUGGACUCGAUUUCGAGAACAUCCUGAGCGAUCUCGAGGAGCACAAGAUCUACUUCAGCAGCGAGCCAUCGAUUCGCGAAUUGGUGUCUCAGCAAAUUCAGCAAGCCGGUGACAAAAUUUGGCCUUCGUUGAACACGUCUGAGCAAGAAGAAUUAAGCGCGGAACAACAGCAGCACACCCAAUUAUUGAAAAACACGUUGAACACGGCGAAAUCUCAACGCGCCAGGUUGGAACAAGGCGCUGAAACGUGGAGGGAUUACACGCAAACCUUGGAACGAGUCCGGGCUGUGAUAGCGAGGAGCAGAUUCACCGACGAGCCUGUCACGACUCUGGCUGGACUGCAAUUUAACAUCCAGAAGAUCACGCACGCGCUCAAUGACAUACAGAAUCAACAAUUCGAAUUGGAUCUAUUGAUCGAACGCAGUCAAGAAGUGCUUCGAUUGGCCGACGUUAAUAACAAGAAAACGAUAGAGGCGCAGAUUUCUGAGAUCAGUGCGGAAUGGAAAGAGUUGGUUUCCGGGUUGGAAGGGCGAAGGGAUGCCCUCGAGGCGUUGUCGAAGCAUUGGGAAGAUCUGGAGGCACAAUGGUCGCUUAUCGAGACUAAAGUGAAUGCUAUCGAGGAGAAGAGCAAACUUUUGGACACUGUGGUUCGUUCUAAGCAACAUUUGCACGACACCAUCAAAUCUCUACAUGAGUUGGUAACGGAAGCGGAGAAAUUGAAACCGAUGGCAGCGGAAGUGAAAGCUUUAUCAGGACCUGUUCUAGCAUAUCUGGCUGCCUUCACAGAAGCUCCAGCUCAUGCUCUCGAGGAAAAGCUGAAUAAAUUGCAGAAUUCCGUCGAAUCGCUCAUCGACACCCUGCAGACGAAAUCCAAGAAGGCGGACGAGGACUUGGAAGCGUUCGAAGGCACCGAGCGUGAGAUCGAUCAGCUGAGGAAGCAUCUGAACGAGGCGCGCGAACGCGCCUCUCAUUUGUACAUAUUCGGGCCGGAUCAGGACGCGACCGAGGAGGAGCUUGACGAGCUGCGUUGGGCUGUCGAGCAGCUCCUCGAGAGCGGGAAAAAGUUCUCAGGAAGCACUAAGGCGCGGUACCAAGCUAGCCAGCAGCUGGUCCCCAGCGAUCUUGCCCAACACCUGACCGCCCUCGAACUUUGCGCCGAGGCGACAGCGCAGGCCAUGGAGGAGAAACAGAGGGAGCAGAAGCGCGCGAGAACCGUCAGAUCGGAUUAUCUGACCGAUCUGGACGAGGUUCAAGCGUGGAUCAGGCAGGCCGAGUUGAAGGUUCAGGACAGAUCGAUCGAGCCUGUACCUCUCAAGGAUCAAUUGAGGCAGGUGCAAGAGGAGUUGGGCACGAUCAGCGACAAGCUCGAACGAUUAACGAGAAAUGGCCGUACAAUUGCGGAGAACACGAGGGACGACACGGAGAAACAAUUGAUCGACAGCACCGUUCACAACGUGACCGAACAGUUGAACCAAGUGAGGAAUUGGUUGGACGAGAGGAAACAAGUGGUGGCGGACACCAUUGACGCUUGGCAGAGAUUCUUGUCGUUAUACGAGGCAGUGAGGACGUGGACCGAGGAGAAGAGACAAUUCUUGGUUGAGCCGUUGAAGCUCAGCACCCUCGUGCAGGCUAGGCAGAGGCUGCACGAAUAUUCGACAGCCGUGAAAAGCUGCAAACAGAUCAACAAGAAUCUCAGUGACAUGGGUAAGGAGCUCGAGAGUAUCGGUCAGGUUUGCAGCGUGGGCGACUUGCCCGAGAAAUUGCUCGAAGCUGAAGAAGCUAAGGUUCAAGUCGAGGGUCAACUGUUGGAGAGGAACGCGCUGCUGCAAGAAACUAGCGAGGAAUGGGAGCAAUGCGAGCGAAAGAUGAAAGAGGUGAAAACGUGGAUCGAGAAAGCGAAACAGAGUCUCGAAUCGCCGCAGAACAAAAAGAAACCGUUACGGGAUCAGCACAGCAUACGGGAGAAAAUGCUGAGCGAUAUCGCGAUACAGAAAACGAAAAUCGGUAUAUCGAUGGAGAAGCUCCAGGUUCACUUCCGGUCGGGGAUCGGUGGCGAUAGCCGAAUCGGCGAAACGGUUGACGAGCUACUGGCCGAGUUAGACAAUCUUCACGCCAACGUGAAGGAACAGACCACAGCGUUGGAGGGUUGUUUAGCUCAGAUCGAUCAAUAUCAACAGGAGAUACAACAAUUGAGGCAACAGAUUAUGCAGGUAGAACAACAAUUGAGGACAGUGCUGAGUCCGACUUACCUGUCCACCGACAAGGAGAAGGCGUUGCAGGAGCAACAGCAGAGCCUGCAGCAAAGGAUGGACGAUUGGAGGCAACGCGUCAAGACAUUGCUGGAUGAAAUAUACACCGUGGACCCGUACUAUGUACAAAGCAACGAGACAAGGUUCGUCAAUCAGGUCUCGUACGCGGACAUCGCCGCUGGUCGCACGAGCCCCAAUUCCAGGGGCUCUAGCCCCUUUAGAAACAACCGGGACGAGGCUGCUCCUACACCUCUCUCGAUUCAAGUGCUUAGACCGACUGCUCAAUUCUCAAGAUCCGUGGAUAUCCAGAAACCCGUCGUUGAACCGGUUCGCGAUGAAACUCCGCCUAGCACCGCGAGAAUAGAAAGCAGAGGCAACGAGGAACGGGCGAGAAUCGAGGAGCAGAGCGAACAGAAGGACUCCGAGAUGAGAAUCGAAAGCAGAAGACACGUUUCCAAGAUGGAUUCGGUGGAUUCUAGAACGAGGAGUCAGUCGAGGAGGGCUGGUUCGGUUAGAAAUGACAGCGAUGAGGCUGUGAGGGAAUCUAGGGAGAGAAAUUCGUCCGCGGAGAAUGAAAACGAGAUGGAGAUUUCUACAUCGAUGGAACAGAAAAAGGAAUCGUUGGUACUUAAGAACACGUUGGCGCCUAAGGUUGAGAGGAGAGGAAGAUCGGCUAGUCCCAUUUGGGUGCCUGGAUCUACGUCCUACGCGGAUAUCCUUCGUGGAAAUAGGCAAAGUUCUCGCAGUCCUUCGGUGGAGGCUGGCAAGGACGUUAAUAUGAUUGGUAGAGAGGUCAGCGAGACUGUGGUCGAAGAGUUGUCUGUGGAAACGGUUCAGAGUGAGAAGUUGGAGUUCAAUGUGCCCAGACUCGAAGUGGAGGAAGAGACGGAAGUUCAGGAAGCUGUUGAGGAAGAGGCAAACGAAGAGAUAGCAGUAGAGAGUUACCAGUCUGUUGAGGUAAUGGAUGAAGACGUGGCUGAAAUCGUAUCUUCUUCCGUGAAACCCGAGGAAUCGGCAGAGGCUCAAACCAGUUGGGCUGAUGAGAGCAUGGAGGAGUACGUUUUAUUGAAUGAGAAGAAUUACAAGAAUAUUGCGGGAGCACCGCAACAAGUUCAAGAAGUGUACAAUUAUAUUCAACCACCUCUUCGACCAGCGAUUCCAGAAUUGGUUGGAUUCAUUGGAUCUCAGGUAGCUUAUCCAGUAAGUUCUUACGUCUACAUGCCGGCUGCAUCCCCUCAGCAGAUGGCUCUUCCUCAUUACACCGAGAGUCAGAUAGCAUUCCCGUCUGAACAAUACGUGGCACAACCUAGUUACAUCCCUGAGCCAGAGAUUUAUCAGCAGAAUCUGUUGCAGAAACAGAGACAACCGCAUCAAUCUAAAUACAAAAGUAAUCCAAAGAGCGCUCCAAUUAUCAUGCAAAAUGUGGAAGAGAAAUGUUUAUCUUGUCAGAUUCCUCAAGCUGUGGAUAUUCAGCCUGUCGUACAACCUAUUGUCCAACCAAUACAGAUAGUUGAAGAGAAAUCUGUGGAACAAGAACAGCCUGUACAACAGCCUGUGGAACAACAACCUGUGCAGCAAUCAGUGCAACAAUCAGUGGAACAAUUAGUAGAGCAACCUGUGGAACAACCUGUGCAACCUGUUUCCCCCGCAACACCAUCGGAAAGCACACCGGUGAAGACAAAAAUAAUCACCGAGAGUAAAACAUUCUCCUACGCUCAGAUCUUAUCACAGGGUCUCGCUCCUAAACCGUCAUCGGCCGUCAGUAGUUAUUCUCCACCAACGAGCGUUCCAUCGACGACAUUAGCCUCGAAACAGGUGAAAGAGCGUUCGUAUUCACCUGUGAAUUCGACAACGUCCUCGGUGCACGAGACGAGUCCUCCUCAGGAGGCGAGGCAAACUCGAGAAUCGUCGGUAAGUAAACAGGAAAGCAAUUGGGACGUUACGAAGAAAAGGGAGACGAGGAAGACUCAUCAGGAGGCGCCGAAGACGAAAAUCCCGGAAAAGAGAGCUAGAAGAGGGCCCGAGUACUCGAAAGAGAAACUUCAAAAGGAGAAAAUUAAGAUUAAUGUGGAGCAACAGAAACAGGUAUUCGAAACGAAAGAUGAAAUUGUCGUGGAAGAUACUUCUAAAAUAAAUGUGAAGAGUAACGAGGUUGAGAUUAAAAAGGAAAAAGUGGAAGAUGUUCGAUCGGAAAAGAGAGUAGAUGUCGAAAAGACGAAAAAGAUCGAAACACAGAAACAAGAUGAAAAGCAAGAGGUUCAGGAGGAGAAGCAUGAUGUUCAACAGAGGAGCAGAUCUCAGGAAAAGAAACGAAAGGGAAAGAAGAAGAAACCGGAGAAGUCGAUGGACGAUGAGAUAGACAAGGCUCUGAAAGAAAUUGAGGAUAUGGAUAAACAGAAAAAGAGGGAUAAAUCGAGGGAACAGACUAAGAUUAAGGAUACGAUUCAAACUGUUCAAACAGAAAAAUCUAAAGAAGAUAAUGAAAAGAAAGGCGUGAAGCCUGGCGAGAAAAAGAAACAAAAUAAAUCGAAGAUGGAGAAGGUUAGAGACGAAUCAGAAAUUGCAAUGAAUCAGACUAACGCGAAAGAACAAAUGAAAUCGAAGAAUGAUACGAAAGAAAGUAAAGAAGAGAAAAAUAUUGAGAAAAGGAAUGCAAAGGAUGAAGCUAAGAUUUCUAAGGAGAAAGUUGAAAGUCGAAAGAGCGAGUCGGAAAAAAGAUUUGAAAUUAAAAUCGAUUCAGGUAACGAAAUGAAGAAAAUUGAGACGAAGGAAGAGAAAGCGCAAAAAGAUUCUGCUAAUCUAUCGAAGAAAAAGCAAAAAGGUAAAGAACAGACUGGUAUGGUGAAAGAUAAGUCUAAUAAAGAUAGUGUGAAAUCUACGAAAAUUGAAAAUGAAUCUGAACAAAUGAAAAAAGCGAUAUUUAUUGAAGAUAAAGCAGAAAUUCAAAAAGAGAAAGACAUUAAACCAGUUGAAAAUAUUGGAAAUUUAGAUCAAUCACAGAAACAAGAGGAUACGAAAUCUAUAAAACUUAUGAAAUCAGAAAAAAUAUCUGAAACAAAAGAAUCAAAAGAGAAGGAACCUGCGAAACCUAAAGAACAGGAUAAAUCGAAAAAGAAUAAAAAACAGAAACAAGGAACCGAGAAUGAGAAAGAUCAGACACCUAAGAAACAGAGCCAACAAAAAGAAGAAAAGAAAAUAGAUCAAUCGAAACAGAAAAAAUCUGUAGAAAAAUCAGAGAUAAUAGAUAUUAAAUUGGAAGAAAACAAAGAGAUUAAAAUAGAGGUUGAUGUGAAAGCACCAAAAGAUGAAAAAGAGAAAAAGGUAACUGGAAAAGAGAAAGAAAAGAAAGCUGAAAGUAAAGAUCGUAAAAAGAAAGAUACAAAACCAGAAGUAGCAUUAAAAGAGAAAGAAGAACAGAAAGCUGUAAUAAAUCCAUUGAUUAGUGCGAUAGAAUCUGAUAAAAAAAUUGAAGAAAAAGAAAUUGAUAAUAAAGAUUCGAAGGAAAGUUCUACACCAAAGAAAGAAACGAAAAAAGCAGGUGAAGCAGAGAAACAGACAAAAACAAAAGGUGGAAAGAAAUCUAAAAAGGAAGCGGAUGUUAAUCAGAAAUCUGCUGAGAUUAUCAAAAAAGAAGAGACGAUAGUCGUUACAGAUAAACAAGUUAUUGAAGAAAAAAUUGAUGAAAAAAUUAUUAUAGAAGAAUCGAAAAAAGAACAUUUGAAACUUGAAUCAGUUGUACCAAAUACAGAACAAUCAGAGAUGAAAAAACAUAAGAAAUCUAAAUCACCAAAAAGAGGAAAGAAAGAAGAAAGUUUAAAAUCUAUAGAACAAAAAGAAAAGACAGAGAAAAAAGAAAUGCAAGAGGAAACGAUAAAAUUAGAAGAAAUGAGCGAUAAAAUCGAUACGAAAGAAAAGUCUAUAAAAGAAACAAAAGAAGAAGUUGUUAUCGAAGUUAAAGAGGAAAUUAGUGCAGUUCAAGUUGAAGAAAAGAAAGAAAAAGAUAUAAUCCUAACAGACAAAAUUGAAAUACAGUCUGCUAUUGAAAAAAUACCUGAAAAGAUUAUUGUUGAAGGAAGCAUGGAAACAUUUAUAAAAACUGUAGAAAUAGCAAAAGAAACUGAAAAAAUUGAAGUCAGUGAUACGAAAGAGAAAAAGGAAACACCUCCUCCUGAAAUUUCAAAAACAGAAGACCAACAACCAGAGCAAAAGAGUGAAAUGCCAAGUACACCAUCAAAGAGUAAAAAAUCAAGUAAAUCAAAGGAGAAACAUCCUGUCGAAAAAAUAGCUCCACUUUCUAUAGUUCAAGAGCCUAAACCAAGUACACCAAAGAGUCAACCAAGUACACCAAAAUCCGAUAAAAAGAAGAAGAAGAAACAAGAGAAUAAAGACAAAGAUAAUAUUGAAUCUCCACAAGCAAAACAAAAGACAAUUACUGAAAAACCUCUCAGUGACGCAAAACCAAUCGAAGAAUCCAUCGAAAUACCUGAUGUUGUUCCCGAAAAAUCUAUUUUUGAAGAGAAAGAAAUACCAACGACGUUGCAACCUGAAAUAAGUCCAAUAAUUGAGCCUGAAAAAGAUCAAAUUAUUGAAUCUAAUGAGUCAAAAUCUGUUUCGCAAGACCUGAUUGAAAAAUCAAGUACAGAAGAAGUUCCAUCUCUCUCAUUGACAGAAGAGAUUUCAAACGUCACAGAUACUGGUUCGCCAGUCGAAGAAUCAUCUUCGACGUCAUCGGGCAAAGCAUUAAUCAUCGAAAAAACGGUAACCACGGUGACGACCACGACCAGCAUACCGGGAUCUGUCGAAGUGAAGCCUCCGAACGUGAAAUCCGUGAAAUCCGUAGAGAUCUUAGAAAGCAUUCCCUUACCUAAGAUCGUAGGCUCCAAACCCACUGAAUUAAUCACCCUACGUCCUGAAACAGUAGAGGCUAGCCUAACAACCAGAUAUGCUAGGGUAUCGGAUGAAUCAGCUGUUGGUAUCCCCUCGAAAGAGUUUUUAGAUACGUUAGUGGACGAGUCGAAUUUCGAUUACGCGAAUUAUAUCAAUCUCGUCGAAGACGAUCAACCGAUUUUGUUCGGUAGCGUUCAGGAUAGGAGGAAAGAUCAUUCUGGGACUUCUUUGUCUGUAGAAAACGCGAAGGAAGAACGAGAGGUCGAUGAUUUAAAGGAGGGACAGGGUAUUGAUGCGAAGAUUUCGCAAGAUACAUUGAGCGAAAUCGAGGGUAAGAUUGAAAAGGGUGAAAUAAUGAUUAAAAAAGAAGUAAACAUUCUUGGAGAAACUGAAAAUGAGAGAUUCAAAGAUUCGAGUGAGUUAGAGAUAGAGAAUGAGGAUAAAAGUGUGGAAGAGAAGCGAGAAACAAAUAAAACUAUGGAAGAGCUUCUUUUUACUGUUGGAAAGGGAGAAGAUGUGAAGAAUGCUGUGGAAGAAUUGUUAGAAGUUGAAAGAAAAGCUAUGGUAGUUGAACAAAAAAUUGUAGAUAUCGAAAAACAAGAAGCUGUUUCUGUUAAAUUUGAAGAUAGUAAAUUUAAGUUGGAAGAAAUUGAAAAUAAAACAACUUUGAAUGAAGAAAAGGUUGGAGAUUUAGAAAAACCAAUUGAAGUUCCUGUUAAAACUGAAGAAGUUAGCAGUAAAACAACUAUAGAAGAAAAAGUAGUAGACUCUGAAAAAGGAGUAGAAGUUCCUGUUGAAAUUAAAUCUAUAAUGAAAGAAGUUGAAAGUAAAAUAACUCUGCCUGAAGAAAAAAUUGCAGAAUUUGAGAAGCCAAUAGAAGUUCCUAUUAAAGUUAGUGAUGCUAAACUUCAAACAGAAGAAAUUAAAAUUGAAGAUAAAGUAGAUUCUGAAAAACAAGAAAGAAUUGAAAUUGAAGAUUCUAAAUCUAAAAUGAAAGGCAUUGAAGAUACAAAUCUACUUGAAGAAAAACUAAUAGAUACUGAAAAACGAGAAGAUGUUUCUGUUAAGCUUGAAGAUAUUAAAUCUAAAUCGGAAGAAAUUGAAAAUAAGCCAACUCAGGAGGAAGAAAAAAUUAAAGAAGUUCCUAUUAAUAUUAAAGAUUCUAAAUCCAUAAUUGAAAAAAUAAAUAAUGAAACAAUUAUAAUUGAAGAAAAAGAUCUUGAAGAAAAAAUAGAAAUUCCUGUUGAAAUUAAAUCCAUAACGAAAGAAGUUGAAGAUAAAACAGUUCUGUUUGAAGAAAAGGUUGUAGAAUCUGAAAAAUCAUUCAAAGAAGUUCCUGUUAAAAUUGAUUAUUCUAAACCCCAAGAAGAAAUUAAAGUUGGAGAAAAGGUAAUGGAAAAACAAGAAACAAUUGUAGAUGAAGAUUCUAAAUCUAAAAUGGAAAGCGUUGAAGAUAGAACAAUUCUUGAAGAAAAGAUCAUAGAAUCUGAAAAAUCAAUAGAAGUUCCUGUUAAGAUUAAAGAUUCUAAGAAGAUAGAAAAAGAAGUUCCUGUCGAAAUUAAAGAUUCUAAGUCAAAAACAAAAGAUAUAAACCCAUAUUAUUUCACAGAUUUAGUAAAACCUUAUUGGUUCAAUUAUCGUCCUUAUAUUAAGGCAGAAAUUGAUUUCUAUAGGCAUUUCAAGAUAGUAAAAAUAUUAGAAGAAAAUGUACCUGCUUCUGUGUUACCAAGAUCAGAUAGUAUUGAAAGAAUUGUUCAGGAAUCAAUCAUGAAAAAACCUAAAGAAGGAGAAAAGAAAAUAGAAAGUGCAGAACAAUCUGAGACUGAAUACGCAAAACAUGCAUCUCAGGAAAUAAUUAAGGAAAAAUCUAAAGAAAUAGAAAAGAAAACGGAAGAUACAAAGGAAUCUGAAACAGAAUACAGAAAGCACAUACUUCAGGAAUCAAUUGAAGAAAAAUCUAAAGAAAUAGAAAAGAAAACGGAAGAUACAGAGGAAUCUGAAGCAGAAUAUCGGAAGUAUGCACUUAUUGGAGAAACCCUUAAAUAUCCUAUUAGUACGUUUUAUAAAUUAGAAUCUGAAUGGGUGAAAUCUAAGCUGAUUCAAGAAAAAGAGGUCACACUUAACAAGGAAAUUAUUCAAAUUUAUGAAGAAGAAAAAUUACCAAUAGAAUUAAAAGAAUUAGAAGAGGUCAUGUCUACAUCUGUGGAAGAAUUGACAGAUAAAUUGACAGAUAUUGAAGUAAAAUCACCAAUAAAAUUAGAAGAAUUAGAAGAGGUCAUAUCCACUUCUGUAGAAGAAUCUAAACUGACAGAUGUUGAAGUAAAAUCACCAAUAAAAUUAGAAGAAUUAGAACUCAAAAAUGAAGAGGUCAUACUCUCUCCUGAAGAGGAGUCUAAAUCAAUAGAUAUUGAAAUUAAAAAGGAAAUUAUCGAAAUUUAUGAAGAAGAAAAGCCAGCAAUAAAAUUAGAAGAAGAUAAAAAGAUUAAUAUUGAGAAAGAUACCAUGAAAGUUAUCGAAGAAGUUACUACAGAAAUUAAAUCUACAGAUAGAAUUUUGGAUCAAACAGCAGCUCUUAUUGAAGACGUAACUAAAGAACUUGAUAUGAUAAAAAAGGAAGAAGAGCAAAAUAAAAUUGUAACAAUUGUAGAAGAAAGAAAGAAAGAAUUUGAAACUGAGAAAAAAGAGCAAGUAUCCGAGAAAAAAUCAAAAACGGAAAAAUCAAAGAAAGAAAAGCAAUCAAAAGGUGAGAAAUCGAAGAAUAAGAAAAAGGAGAUUUCAUCAAUUAAAGAACAUGAAAUUGAGAAAAAAGAUACUGUUGAAACAGAAAUGACACAAAUUAUAGAACAAUUUACAGAGGUUAAAAAAGAGGAAAUUAAAGAGGCUCCACUAUCGAUCAAAGAACUUGAGGAGAAAGAUACUACUGAAAUAGCAGAAUUAUCACAGAUUAUGGAACAAUUUACUGCAGAAAUUAAGAAAAAAGAAAUUGAGGAGAUUUCAUUAUUACCCAAAGAAUCUGAAAUAAUUGAGAAAAAAGAUAUUGAUAUUGAAAAAGAUAUCGAAACUUCAGAAUUAACAAGAACGAUGGAAGAACUUAUUACUGCGAUAAAAGAAAUUUCAACAGAUGAAAUUAUUGAUCAAAAAGAAGAGAAAAAGAUGGAAAAAAAUAUUACAACGGAAGAACUAUUAACCACAUCACAAUCAAAAACGGAAGAAGAAGGAAAACCUGUGAUAAUAUCUCCAAAAAUAGAAAAAGUAGGAAAAGAAACAAAAUCAGAAAAAAGCAAAAAGAAACAGAGGAAACAAAACGAAAAGAAAGAAGAAAUUCCAGUUCUAGAGAAUCCAAUUGUAACUGAACAAGAAAAUAUAGAAAAGGAAGUUGUUGAGAAAUCUAUUUCUGAAAAGAAGAAGACUUCUAAAGAAUCUAAGAAAAAAGAAGAAGUUAAAGAACCAUCGAAAGAAGAAAAAAUUAUCACAGAAGAACUGAAAUCGUGUUCCUUAGAAAAAGACAUUGAUAUUGUAACUGAAAUAACAGAAACCGAAAAAUUAGUUAAUGGUAAAACAAUAGAGAUAAUAGAUUUAGAUGCAAUUCAAUCUUCAACAAAAGAAGAAAAAACUAAACCUAUAGAGAAAUCUAAAAAAGAAGAAACCAAAACAAAAUCUGGAAAACAGAAACAAUUCAAGGAGAAAACUGAUAUUAAAGCUACUCCUGAUAAAGAACCAAAGAAACAAGAUAAACAGGAAAAUAGUUCUCCAGAUUCAAAGAAGAGACGUGAAGGAAAAUCUAAAAAAACAAAUGAUAUCCCAACAUCAAUGUCUCAAGAAAUUGUGAGUGAAAUUUCUCCAGAAGAGUUUAAAAAGGAAGAGAGUCAAAUAGAAAUAAAAGAAAUAUUACAAGAAGAAAUUCAGCCAUCGGUGUGUACCAAAUCAUGGGCAUCAAUUGUUAGCAUGAAAGGAAAUACAGAAACAACUAAUAAUUCUACAGAUAUUUCGAAAGUAACAUCUGAAGAAUCAAUACCUGAAACUCCAAAAUUAGAAAAAAUAGAAAAAAUGGAAGAAAUUAUACCUGAAGAAUCGCAGAGUCCACCAGCACAUCAAAAAUGGGUGAAACACCAAAAGAAAAAAGAUGCAAAACAAGAGAAGAAUGUUACUGAGAUAAAAGCCUCUUCUAUCAAUAUUGAAAAUGAAGGAGAAAAAGAGAUAAUUAUUGAAGAAUCACAAGAAUUGAUCACAAAAGACUCGAACAAAUCUUAUGCUCAAGUGGCUGCUUCCAACAAAAGGACUUCUCCACAAUUUAAUCAAGAAGAUAUAAUAAUUGCUAAACCGACUCCUAUUAAUCAAAGCAUUGAGAAAAAAGAAAUUGCACAGGAAGAAGCACUAAUAAUCACAGAAAUUGAAAAUGUCAAAGAAAUGAUUAAAUCUGAGGAAGAGGUAAUAAUGGAUAAAAAGUUUGAUGAACUAGUUAUUGAAAAAGAUGUCUUUAAAAUGGAAUCAACUUCAUGGGUAGAAGAAAUCGAGAAAGAAGCAUUAGAAGAAGAAAUUGAUUUUAAAUCUUCUAUUCAGGAUAUUGAAUCUCCGCAGAAAACGAAAGAUUCGUGGGCUGCUAUAGUUGGAAAAUAUGUUGAACCACCAAAAAUUUCAUCACCUACAGUGAAAAAAGAGCAAAUUAUCGAGCAAAAUUUAUAUCCUCAAGUACAAAUCCAUGUGGAACAAGCUCCAGAACCAAUACCCAUUGAAGAAGUAGUUCAAGUAGACGAACAAGGUUUCAUAGAAUUUUUAAAUCGAAAAGAAUUGCGAUCUAGACGAUCCAGAUCACGAUCCAGAAGUGCCAGACGAGAUGAUGCAAAGCAAUCGAGUGAUAAACCUAUAAUUCCUGAAGAAAUUUUAGCAGUAGAACAGAAAGAGGAAAAUGCAGAGAAAAUGGAAGAGCAAAAGAAAAAGGAGGCAAACAAAGGAAAAGAAGAAAAAUCUAAGAAAGACAAACGUAAGGCAAAGACAAAUAGUGCGGAUCGUAAUCAAAGUAUAACGAAAGAGGAACAAGAAAAAGAGAAAAGUAAGACAAAGACGAAUGAAAUCGAGGAAAAGAAAAUAGAGGAAGAAACGAUAGAAGAUUCAAUUGAGCAAGAUAAAACCAACCAAUCAAAAAAGAAAGGUAAAGGUAAAUCGAAAAUAAAAGAAGCUGAAAAAGAAAAAAGUAAGGAAGAAAUUGCUGUUGAAAAAAUUGAGAAAAAGGCUGAAGAAAAGAUAGAAAUAAAGAAAGAAAAGGAAGAAUUGCAGAUUAUUGAGUUUGAAAUUCCAGAAGCAGAUAUGGAAGUAAAUACACAAAAUAAGAUUGCAGAAAAAUCGAAAGUAGAAACAAAAGAACAAUCCGGUGGUAAGAAAAAUAAAAAAUCGAAAAAAGGAAAAUCUGAUAAGGAACAACCAAAACACGAAUUUAAAGAUAAGGAACAAGAUAAGCAAAUAGAUAAUGCUCAGACAACAGAACUAAAGUUAGAACUAAAAUUAAAAGAAGAAAUUACGAAAGAAUCAGAAAUUAAAAAUCAAGAAGAAACAAAAGAAAAUAUAAUAUCUGAAAUUGAAUCUAAAGAAAUUCAAGAAAAAUCAAACGAAAGUACGAUAUUUGAAACUGAAAAUGAACUUCUUCAAGAAACAAAAUCUGACAAACCAAUGCAAUCAGAAAAACGUAAAAAGAAAUCCAAAGAAAGAAAAGCAGAAAUAGCACCAAAACAAAUCACUGAAACAGUUAUUGAAGAAAAUAAAGUAUUAGAAUCUGAAAUGCAAAAAGAAAUAUUAAAAGAACAAUCAGAAGCAAAAGAUAUUCAAGAUAUAAAAGCAACUACUGAGUUUAUUCAAGAAAUAAUAUAUGAAAAACCAGCUUCUUCUGGAAAACGUAAAGGAAAAUCAAAGGAAAAGAAAAAAGCAAUUAUUACAGAAACAGCAAUUAAAGAAAAGGAAGUAUCUAAACCUGAAAUCAAAGAAAUAUUAAAAAAGGAAUCAGACAUUGAGGAAAUUAAAGAAAUUAAAGAAAUUGAGGAAGAACUAAAAACAAUUAUGAAAUCUAAAGAUGAAUAUAAGUAUGAGAUUGUUCAAGAAACAAAAUCUGAAAAAUCUCCAAAAAAGCGUAAAGGAAAAUCUAAGGAAACGAAAGUAGAAACUGUAUCAGAACAAAUCAAUAAGAUAUCAAUUGACGAAAAUAAAUUAUUUGAAUUUGAUGCUAAAGAUAAAAUAUCGAAUCAAAUAAUAAAAGAAGAAGAAGUAAUUAAGCAGGAAAGAGAUGAUACUAAUCACAUUAAACAGGAUGUUACUGUAGAGAAUGAAAUAGAAACAAUUACGAUAAUAUCUGAAAAGCUGAAAGAAAAGGAAAACUCUGUAAAAGAAUCAAUAGAAUUACCACAAACAAUCGCUAAAGAAAUUUCAGAUAGUAAAACAGAAACAAUAGAAGAGAAAGAGGAAACAAAAAUUGAACAAGCAAUAGAAACAGAAGACAAAUCUAAAGUUUCGAAAAAAGAAAAACGGAAACAAAAGAAAAAAGAAAAAUCAGCUACAAGAGCAACUAGCCAAGAAAAAUUGAAAAACGAAAAAUCAGAAGCGAUUUCGCAAGAGCAAAAAGAAGAAAUAAAUAUGAUAUCCAAAACGUUAGAUGAAUUAAAAGCAGAAGAAAUAUCUACAGAAAUUAUUUUAACUAAUGAAACCAAGGAGAAAAAAGACACUAAUGAAAUAUCUAAAGAAAUUGAAAAAUUAAUUCUUUCUGAAGUGAUUUCUGAUGAGAUAAAACUUGUACCAGAAACUAUGCCUAUUCCAAUACCUAAAGAAGAAAUAAAAGUAAUUAAAGAGAAAAUAGAAUUAUCAAAGUCAAUUGAAGAACAAGAAAUAAUUUCUGAUGAAAUAAGGCUUGUUCCCGAAACUUUGCCUAUAUCAAUAUCCAAGGAGGAAAUAAAACCAAUUAAAGAGAUAGCAGAAUUGCCAAAACCAACUAAAGAAAAAGAAAUAUUUUCUGAGGAAAUCAAACCAGAAAUUAUCUCUAUACCAAUAUCUGAAGAAAUACAUUCUAUUAAAGAGAAAACAGAGUUGCCAAAAGUAAAAGAAAAUGAAAUUUCUGAUGAAAUGAAACUUGUUCCAGAAUCUUUAUCUAUAUCAAUAUCCAAAGAGGAAAUACAACCUAUUAAGGAAAUAAUAGAGCUGUCGAAACCAAUUGAAGAAAAAGAAGAAAUUAUAAAUAAAAUAAAAGACAUUGAAGAAAAAGGAGAAAUAAUUAAACCAGUGAUAGAUGAAGACAAAAAACAGGAAGAGUCGUCAUCUAAAAAAUCUAAACGCAAGAAUAAACAAGCAAAAAAAAGUAAGCACGAAGAAGCAGAAACGGAAAUAAAAUCUGCGGAUGAAGAUCUACUAUCAUCAAAGAUUGAAAAAAAUAUUGAAAUAUUAAACACAGGUUCUUCUACUCCAACUCCAGAUACUCCAAAGGAAAUCCCUCAAAUUGAAGAAAAGACAUUGAACGUAACGAUAUCUGAACAGAAAAUAGAAGUUAAUGAUAUAUUAACAAUUGAUGACAUUAAAAAAGAUGAAAAAGAAAUUAAGAACACAACAGAGCAGGAAAUUGUUUUUGAAGAAGAAAAGAUACUUUCGAAAACUCAAGAAGAAAUUGAAUUUAAUUUACAGAAAAUUGAAGAAACACCAUCGACUUCUCCUAUAAAAAAGAAAGUUACGAAAGAAGAAAAAUCUAAAUCAGCAAAAGACAAAGGAUAUGAAGAUAAAUCUAAAAAUGAUGAUAAAGAAAUUCAUGACAUAAAAUCAUUAACUACCGAAGAAAUAACAGUAGACAAGACUUCUGAAGUUAUAGAAGAUACAGUCAUUCCACUUGAAAUGGAAAAACCAACAGAAAUCAUUGAAUCAACUGAAGUAACGAUAAAUGGUAUAUUGAAAAAAGAAACUGAUGAGAUUGAAAAAGAGACAAUUAAAAUAGAAACAAUCGAAGAGAUAUAUCCAGAAAUUGUGAAAGAAAAUAUAAUUCAAGAAAUCGAUAAAGUCCCAGAACAAUUUAUACCGAUUGAAAAGCUAUUAGAUGAGAUCGAAUCACCCAUAAUAAUAGACUCGAUCGAAUCCCAAUUAGAAACCGAGGAAGAAUUCGAGAAAUGUAUAUCGAGCGAACCAGAAAUAGAGACGGUCGAUAUCGUAAUCGAACCAGCAAAACCAAAAGUACAAUUUUACAUAGCCGAUGAAAUUCUAGUUCUAAGUCCCGAGAAAAAGAAACCUGUCCAGACUCCUUUAAUCUUAAAGACCUUGUCAGAACUCAGUAGGUCCAAGUUCCUCUCCCUUGAUAGCGGUUUCUGGCCGGACAAACAUCCUUAUCACGAAGCUGAACGCUAUCUAUUCGAAAACUUGGCUAAUUAUCCAAAAGAAAAUAUUUCGAACGAUACUAAACGCGAUUCUAACGAUCCGGACGAUUUUAAUGGGGAUCAGAAUGAUGGUAAUUUGAAUAAUCGCGGUGGAAAUGGUGGUCCCAUGAAUUCUUUUUUCUUGGGUGGACCUCAUACCGAGCGUUUGAUAGCCGAUCUUCCAGGUGGUAUAGGUAGCUGGAGCGAUUACAGUACUUACUUGUCGAGCGAGAACGAGCAAAGAACGGAUCAGACCACGGAGUUGGUCCAGGAAAAGAUCGAGAAUCCAACGUUAGAUCUAACCCUUCCCUCAGACGAAGUAGUUUCUGAAUUAUCCUCCGUCCACCUCGAGGAUGACCAGUCUAUUUCCAAAUUCGACGAAUUGUCGCUCGAAUCUGUUCCUACGACAUCAGAAAAUUCUGAGGAGAUCAAAUUACAAUCAUUGUCCACUGUCGAAGUGUCUCCUGUCGGUGAACAACCCUCUAAGUUAGAUCACGAGUUUUUUACUGCGGUUGAACGACUAGAAUCCACCUGUUCCGAUCCAUCGUGCGAAUUAUUCCCAAUACCAAAUAUCCCUGACCAUGGUCCAGAUCCCAAGGAAAAUUUAGGUAUUGAAAGAGGAUCGAUGCAGCGGCACACUCCAAUCAUGGAGACGGAGAGAGAGAUGGGGGUAGCUGAGGAUGAGGCUGAAAAGAGGAUACGAGGGAUCAAGGACAUCAUACAGGAACGCCUAAUGGUUUUACAAUUGAGUCUUUCGAACUUAAAAGGAACUUACUUACCACGAGAUAACAUAGACACUAUGCUCUCUGCACUCACGAAUUUAAUAACGGAGCUUCAAAGUUAUGAUCAAGAGACGCAUCACUUGGAAGAGGAAUUGCAUAAAAUACCAGCCGAUUUAGAGGCUCAAAAGCUUCUGUCCAAUCUAGAAGAAAUUCAGACUAAAAUUACAACCCUGUUGACACAAGCGGAACAAGGGCGCGCCACCCUUGAGGGUGCACGUGGACAACAAGAGCAACGCGGCCACGACAUUCACGCGUACAAAAAAUUCUUGGAUGAAACAGAUAGUUGGUUAAAAGAUAUCGUGGCUAGUAUGAAACAGGAACCACCGAUCGCUACGAACAAGGCUUUACAGGAUGAGUUGAGCAGUCACGCGCAGCGGGUGUCGGAGCUUGAAUCUUUGCCAGAGAUCAGCACAUUGGCAAAAGUCCUGAAGAAUGCGUUGUUGGAGGUGAUGUCGCGUCUGCAGCAAAGGCAGCAGGAGGUUCGCGACGAAGAAGCGCGAGCCGAUGAAACGUCAGACCGAGACGAUGCUACCCUCGAUCAAGCACCCUCGAUUCAUUCUUCCCUCGAAAGUAGUAUGCCAUCUUUAGCUGACGUUUCCUUGCAGACAGGACAGAGUUUGUUAGCCAACGAGAUCGUCGAGAAACCGCAACAACUCACCAAACAAACGUCCACCAAUCAAAUUCCAAUCGCGACAGAAUGUCACUCGUUGACUACCCAAACCGUGGACACAGUACACCCUGCCAUGGAGAGCAUCCAAACCCAGGAAACGAUAAAGAUUCUAAAAACCACGGAAGGUGAUCACGACGUUAUCGAGAUAGCCACGAAGAACGUGCCAACUUCCGCUCAGGAAAUCGUUCAAGAUCGUCCCGAGCAAAUAACCGAAGACAUCGUUGUUGACAUGAAAUAUCAAGAUCCCACGAACACUGACAACACCACCAGUGAAUUAAACAUCGUCCACGCUGCCCCACAAUCGUUCGAGACCGUUUUGGUCGAACCUGACGACGUGAUUACCGAAGUGGUGGUAGAUGAAGAUGGUUCUAAGAGGAUAAUAGUAAGGAAAUUGAGGCGAACCACGAUGACUAAUAGACAAACAACUCAACAACAUCUGUCUUCGACAUCCACCGCCAUUGGUGACGCUCCAUCCGUGGUGCAGGCUUUCUCAGAGGCUACCAUGAAAGAUCAGCAGGUCACUAUAACUACCACGAAGCCGGAUGGUACAAUAGAAACUGUUACGAAACAGAUCCAUGGAGGAAGAGUGGCCACCGGUACACCUUUCAAAGACGUGAACGUGGAUGAAUACGAGUCAUCUCCGCAAUACAUGCACACGGUGACUCAAGGCCACAUUCGAGACAUCAGUCCUCAACCAUUCGAAGAGGGAAUUUUAAUGGAAGGUGGAGAAUAUCGGGCAAAGACGUCUAGCGUGCACGCUGUGGUGCAACAAGUAACUAGAAGAGUGGUUAGAAAGACUAAAAGAAUUAUCAGAAAGGUUACUAUCAUCGAUGGUAAGGAAACUGCCACUGAGGAGAUAAUAGAGGAGCCCGAGGAAGUGGAGAUCGAUGAAAAGAAUAUUCCACACAUAAGUAUCAAUGUGAUUAAACAAGAGGAACAGAGAAAUCUUAAUAAAGAUGAAGAGAAGAUUGAAGAGAAGGCUCCAGAUCGCGUCGUGGUUGAGGAUGUUACUGAGAAAGAAGAUAAAGAGGACAGAGAUUCGAAAAUGGAAAAAGUCGUUACCGAUGAUAUACCUAUGCAAGGACCAUUCUUUGGUGCAUUUGCUAAAGAUAUGCACCCAAGCACGACCUACUUAGUAACAGAGAGAGAGGAGCCAUUGCCUGACAAGAAAGACACUCUUACAAAAGAAAAGAAGGAGAAAAAAAUUGAUAUAAAUGUUCGAUCAGAGAAGGCUCUGGAAAAUCCACUGGAAUUUUCAGACAUUCAAGAAUCCUUACAAGGUCUUGAAGAAUCUUUAUUACAGAGUGAAAAAAGCGACAAAUCAUUAAAAGCAAUCGAAAAGAAAAUUGAACCAACUGAUAAAUACGAGCACGAGCACUUUUUGGUCGAGGUAAAUGGCAAAAAGUUCCUUCAAUCGACCAGCCAGGCGUUUAUCGAUGCUGAAGUGUCGGCUACUUUGCAGAGCCCGAGUCAAGAGAUCAAGAUACGAGAGUCACAAAUACAGGAAGAGUUAACCAAAUCUUCGAUCGAAUCUAUCGUGUCAGAGGACUCGACGAGCGUGACUAAAGGGACUUGUAAGUUUAUCGAUGCACCAGUAAGCAGAGAAACACCCCGUAUCGAGGUAGAAGAUCGCACGGUAGAUGUAGAAAAGCACCAUGACAUUAGAGGCACCGUAGAUGUACCUGUCCUAGAAGAAAAGUCUUCGAUAGAAAAGUGGAUGAAAGAGAAAUCAGAAUCGUUGACAAAAUUAGCUUCGACGGAGGUACAAAAGAGAGUUCACGUUUCAGAAGAACGACCAAUUCAGUUCGAAGAGAUAUUUCCUUCGACUUCAACACCAGCCGAGAGGAAAAGGCACGUGGAACUGGAGGCAUUACCGAUUGACGUGAAGCAGCAGAUAGUGAAGAAUUCUUUCGUUCCAGAGAUCGAUUAUUCGAUCGAUGAUUACAUGGACGAGGCACUGAAACCGGAAUACAAACCCAUCUUUCAUAAAGUAGAAAUAUCUCUGGCUGUAAAGAGGGAAGGUGAAGAGAUGCAACCUAUUGUGUCUGUGAAAAGUCAAUCUGAACCGGAAGCGGCUCCUUAUCGCUUAGUGAAGGAAGAUGUCGACAUCAGACUUCCGGCAGACAAAGAGAGCAUCUCGGUGAUUCACGACAAAAUCGUUCAAACAUCUCCACCAAUGAUUGAAGCUAAAGUUAUCGGUUUAGAUAAGUCUGUCGGUGGUUCAGAGAAAGAAAUUGUCACAUCGGACAAGUCUGUCGUCACGUCUGAGAAAGAGGAGACUGACAAAUCGAUCGUCACUUCGGAAAAAGAAAUCGUCACGUCUGAAAAAGAGGAGACUGACAAAUCGAUCAUCACCUCGGAAAAAGAAGAAAUCUCUGAUCAUGUCGUCACGUCGGAGAAAGAGGACGAAUGUCUGACAGAGCCUACGGUAGAACCAGAAGCAGAGGCAAUUAUACAAUUGGACAAGAAGAUCGAAAAACGGAUUGAAUCACCUAUGCUGUCCACGGAAACGAAAUCGAGCGUUUCUCUAGCGUCCAACAUUGGAGACUCGAUGGAAAUCGAUGUGCCGUUGUCCGAUUCGUCGAGGCACGCGAGCGAAGCACCACAACCUGACAUCGCGAAAAUGUUUGAAUCUAGGGAAGUAGAGUUGUAUUUGAAAGAGGAAACAUCGGAAGGGGAAGAUGGCUACGAGGCGGAUAGAACGAUCGUGACGACUACACCGGAUGACGAAACUGUGACGAAAACGAAGAGGAGGAAGAAGAAGAAGCAGAGGGUACGAAGUUGUAAGGACGAAGAGCAAACCGAAUUCCCUAAGACAACCACCGAUGAUGGAGAAUUCACGGACGAUGAGACGCUGGCAGAGAGCGAGGAUGCAAAAGCUACGAAGAAGAAAAAGAAGAAAAAGAAACGGGAAGAGAUUGACUUCGGUAAAGAAAAAAUCGUUCCAACCAUGAUCGUGGCAGAUACUCAAACUCUUCCUCGAGAAUUCAGUGUCUCCAUUGCUACGUCCCCGAAACAGGAAGAGGUUUCAGAAAUUUAUAUUCAAACGUCGCCCCAUUUAUUGGAAGAUGUUAAACUGAAAAUCGAAGAGAUUCACGAAGAGGUGCAAACUUCUCCUCCAAUUUCGCUAGAAGAAUCGGAAAAACCUGAAACACCCAAAGUGAAGGAAGUUCACGCGGAAAUGCAAACUUCUCCAUUGCCUGCUUCGGAUUUCGGCAUGCAAACUGUACCGGAAGAGAAAGAAUCAGAACCUGAGAAACCGAUUAUACAACACUCGGAAAUGCAAACAUCGCCAUUACCAGCUUUAGAUUUUAGUGGUCAGACUGUGGAGGAAGAGGCGCCCAAAAUAGAAGAAAUAAGUACUCAGACCAUGGAAUCACCUGUCAAAAAAAUGGAAGAAUAUGCUGUUCAAACGAGUCCAGUCGAAGAUAUCAAGCCAGAAGUUGUUCCGAUCGAAACCGAGGAAAUUCAAGUUCAAACUGUGGCUACAGAAGUAGCUUCCAUCGAAGCACAAACAUCGCCCACCGCGCCAUCCAUGGAAAUUGAAACGCAGACCGUGGAAAAAGUCGUGGUUGCCGUUGAACAACAAACCACUCCACCUCCAAUAGAAGAAAAGAUUCUAACUGGAAUAGCUGUUCAAACGGUAACUCCUGAAGUACCCAAGACCACAGAAACGGAAGCACAAACUAGCAAACCGACCACUCCGGAAAUAACUACGUUGGACUUCAAUGUGCAGGCAGAUCUAAUAGAACAGCCCGUUGUCGACGUAGUGGAAACUCAAACGACACCAGAGGAGAGUCCACGACAAGCGGAAACUCACGAAACUGAGUCACAAACGAUUCAACCGGAGCCAACUCAAGAAAUCAUGAUUCAAACUUGUCCAGUUACUUUUGCUCCGGAGAAAGUGGAGGUUUGCGAGUUAUCUUCUCAGACUAGCAUGGAAGAGGUGAAGGAAUCGAUAGAUGAACAAUCUCAGACCAUGACCCCGGAGAAGAUAGAAACGUUGGAUAGUUCGGUACAAAUAAAGACAAGCGAAUUAAUAGAACAGAUAGAAGAAAGUGUGCAGAUCAUUCCUGAAACACGGGAGGAAAGUGAGCAAACGAGUAUCGAAGAGAAGAAACCGUUGUUGGUGACGUCUUCUCAACAAACAAACGGAGCACUGCAAGUUGCCGAAUCGGAAAAAGAAUUUGUAGUGGAGGAUGAGGAAGGUAACUUGGUGGAGGCCAUGAUAGAUGAGGUUGACGCGUCAACGGAGAUAAAGGCACCUCUGAUACUUACAGAAAUUCCAGUAGCACCUGAUGUACAAGUACAAGAAACUAAGGAGUACAUGGAUACGAAAAUUGAGAAAGUAACAGAACCGGUGUCUGUUAUUGAGGAGCCUUUAAAUAAAAUAGAAGAGCCAAGGGAUGAGAGCUCACAGGGUAUCUCUGAUAUAACGGAGCCUAAGUCGGAAAGCGAAGAGACGAUGGUGCCUUCGUUGGAGGAGACGGAAACAGCGGACGCUGAAUUUGAGAUUCGUUUGCAGGCAACCAUAGAAUUGUGCCCCGACGAGACUACAGACACUACUAGUAAAUUAACCGAUACUUCGCGAGACACGACUAUUACCGAAGAUCUAAGUAUCACAGGAAAAGUAGAGGACAGUAGCGUGGUGAAAAGACAGAAACGUAAGAGGAGACACAAAACUAUUGAAAUUUCGGCGACGAGUGAAAAGGAUCUGGAAUCCAUAUUCGGACAGCCUGUAGAAUCGAAAGAUGUUUCUCUGAAAUUGUCUUAUUCCGACGUUGCUAAGAAAAAUGUGAGUAAGGAGAAGUCGCCUCCUAGAGAAGAUGUUGAAAAAGAUGUUGAAAAGGACGAGUCUAUACGGAAGGAAUCUCCAGAAUUUAUAGAAGAAAGUGUGAAAGAAGCUGAAGAAAAAAUAGAGACAGCUGCCAUACCGCUGUCGAUAGCAACGGAGCCAAUAGUCGUUAAAGAGAUUCAGGAUGUAUGGACUUUGGGUAAAGAAAAGAUAGUCUCGCCUAUGGAAUCAGAAGUACAACAGAUGCCAGGAAUAAGUACUCACACGCCUUCCCCUGAACCAAUGGACACGACGGAGGAACCAUUUUCUCCUGUGGAAUCAAUUCCUCAAGAGGACGAUCGACCCAGGAUUAAAACUUAUGCGGAUAUUAUCAGCGAAUCUUCUAAGAAACCAGAAAAAGAUCAACCUUCAACGUGGGAAUUAUCUCAGCACGUUGUCCCGCAAAAAGGAGCGAGUUCAAAAGCUUUCUUGAUAGCUGAGAGUGCAGAAUACGAGCCCCAACAUCAGAUCACGCAAAGCAGUCAAACGACCAAAGCGAUCUCUGAUCGAAUGCAAAGUUUUCUAAAUGCCAAACAAUCUAGUCAUCUUGGAAAUAUCCUUCAUAUCGCUCAUCUGGACAAAGUGGCGAAUGAAAAAUUGGCCGAAGAGCGCGCUGCUGACAUAAGGAAAGAACUGUCUCACUUGAGGAACGCUGCUCAAGAGAAAGAUGCGAUCACCGUGGAGGAAACUCUCGUUGUCAUCGUGGACACGAUUUCCACUUGGUUGGAGACGAUCGAGUACAGAAUCUUCUUGAGCAAAGAGUGUCCUACGGGUCCUUCUCACGAUGAUCAGACCUAUGUCGAACUGAGAGACGAAGUGGAGAACGUGGAGGAGAAUAUUCAAGAGCUGAAUAACGUUUGGAAAUUAGUGGAGAUGAAUUAUCCGAGAGAAGAUCGUAAUAAUUUGCAGGAAUGUCUCGAUGCUCUCAUGCAUCAAGUUAAAAUGAUCGAGGACGCGACCGACGAUGGGGAGAAAUAUCUUACGAACGAGCUUGCUAGAUGGGAUGAAUUCGUAAACGGAGUGUACAACAUGUACAGAUUAAUCGAGGAACAACGAAAACAUCUAAACAACGUAAUCGAGCUCGAGACAUCCACGAAAUGGAAGCUCGAAGAGCUCGAUAAAUUAGAGAAUAUGAAUCAAUGUCACAUGUGGAAAACCGCAUCGUUGCUCACCGUAUCUCACGAAUUGUUGCGAGAUUAUCCUGGAAAGCACAUCCCGGAAGAGACUUACGCGGCUCACGAGAUGACUAAGAUAAUCGAGCAUGGGAUAUGCAUCGAACGUGAACGACUUCUUCAGCUACUCGCCUUGGCCGAAGAAUACGAGCAAACUUUGCGAGAAUUCGCACAGAUCACCGAGAUCGCGGAGAACUUGUUAGAGAGUCCUAUCUCGGUGAUGAGUUUGGAACAUUUGCAGGAGGAGAUGCAGAAGCACAGAAAAUUCUUCGUGAAUUUGAAUCAUUGUCGAGGAAUCCUGGAAUCGUUGGAAGGCAAUCUUGAUCCGGAGACGAGAACCAAAUACUCGGAUCUUCACGAAGAGCUGCACAGUAGGGCUAUAUCGUUGUUGGAUCAGGCCGCGUCUAGAGCUCAGCAAAUGGCUCUUGCAGCAUCCAGAUGGAUUCUUUUAGAACAGGGAGUGAAGGAGGAGAGAGGAUGGCUACAAGUUGCUCAUCAACGAGUACCUGAUCUUCAAACAGUGACGUCGUCGGAUUACGAUCAAUAUAUCUCGUUGUAUCAGUCUCUGGCAACGGACGUUGCAACGCAUCACGCAAGACUUAUUCAGCUUUUGAACGUAGCGCGAAGUCUCGAAGAAUUAGUGAAUAUCGAGGAUCCCGAGGAUCGUUACGGAGAAGCUUUAGACGUGAUCGUAAAACUUCAAGAUAACGUGGAAUCGUCGUUAAGGAAAUUGCUGUCGUUCAAAGAGAGUUGGGCUAAUCAAGAAAUGUUGAUGAAUCGAUUGGAGAAUUGGAUGACAUCGGUGGAGAAGGAAUUGAAUAAUUUGCGUGAUCCUUCAGGGGGUCACAUACGUCAAUUCUGGGAACUGAAAGCGCAAUACGAGGUCCACAACAACAUUCGAGAGGAGGCCAACAACAGUUUCGAGCAAGCCCUGAGAAUAAUUCCCUUAUCGGAUGAAAUGUUGCAAAGACAGUUCCAUUGCGAGCUCCAAGAUCGCUGGAACGACGUGACUCAACAGAUCAACACCAUCCAAGAACAAGUGACUCGAAACAUCUCUUCCGAAGAGAUAUCGUCCAACGAGAAAUUAAAAUUACUCGAGAGAGAAUUGAACGAGUUACGAGUGACGAUCGAUGGAUUCCACGGUGUUUUGAAGACGGAGGAGGAGCUGGAUCUCUAUAUCGAACGCUUGACAGUCUUGUUUGACAGGAUCUGUUUGAUCCAAGACGAAUUAGGUCGCCUGGGUUUACUUCCUGUGGCGGAGAGCGAGAAGGUCGGUGUGUUGCUGUCCUCGGCUCGCCGAAUAGAGAGUCAAAUAAGCGAGGAAUUGGAUGCAGCGCAGUUGCUUAGGGAAAGGCUUCAGGCAAUUCAGCGUGGCCUCAGCCGUAUUAGAAAAAUCCAUCAACGGCAAUCAUCUAUAUUGGAUCAAUGCGAGGGAAGCGAACGACAGGGAAGUGACGUGGUCGCAGCUGCCGUGGAUCGAUGUCAAACGGUAGCUGACGAGCUUGCGGUCUUGUGGCAGGAUAUUAUGGGUCUCAGACAAUUAUUGCACACCCUGCCCACCGUGAUGAGAGUCUCGGUUUCUCCGGUCAGCGUGGAACGAGACAUUUCGAAUCUUCAAGAUGCUCAUACCGAUCUGGAGUCCAGAUGCUCGAGAUUGUUGGCGUUAUUGAAGAACAGGCUUGCCCUGUGGAGAAGAUUCGAGAAACAGCUGGAAAUGGUGCAGCAAUCGGUUCAAGAGGCUGAUUACAUGAUGGAGUUGUUAACCGUGCAAGGAUCUGUCGAUUACGACAGGCUGCUGAAAGCUACCGAAAGGCUAGAGGGUCUCAGCGGUGAUUUGGGUGCGCGAGAAGUUCUCAUUGGCGAAUUGCGAGAAGCUGCCGAACCUCUGCGGGAGGGUUGCGCUGCAGAGGUCCGCGAGAAGGUCGAAGCGGCGGUAAAUGAGGCCGUACAGGCCUGGGAGGAUACCAGGGCCGAAUUAGAUGCCCUUUGCACCAAGUAUCAGCACGCGUGCAGAUUGUGGCAACAGUACAAAGACUCGAGUGCUGCGGUUAAAGCCUGGGUGGACACGCAAAUGGACAGCGUCGCCAAUCUCCCACCUGAAGAGGCCGUCAAACACAUCAAGGUUUGCGAGGAGACGAUGGCGGAGCACAAGGAAAGGUUGGCGGAGCUUCAAGGCCUGGUGGCGCAAAUCGCGUCGGACGUCGGGUUGGACGCGAGUGGACCGUUGCACUGCGAAGUGGAGGCACUUGGACAACGUCUCGAGGAUAUCCGUGAAACGUUAUCGUGCCUCGCGGAUGCGGCGCACGCCCGCGCCCUCAACCAGGAGCUCGCACGUGGUGAUUUAUGUCAGACGAAAAAUUUCCUGGAUUCGGUCCAACAGAGCCUGACCGCGGUGGGUCAAGGUGAGUCGAAGGAGCAACUGGAACUCCUCCGCAACCAUCUUCUUGCGCUCACCUGCACGGAACCGCAGCUACAAUCGAUCAAGGAACGCAGCCUGGAGGUAACGACGCAAGAACCGUCGGUUGUCGAGGUGUUGAAACUGUGGCAGAAGGUCUUCAGAGAAACCUUCCAACAGUAUCACCGGUUGUCGGCUCUUCUAGUCAAAACGCAGGAUGGUGCCACUGCCUUGAAACUUUGGCAGGAAUACUUGUUCUACGUACAAGAUUUCCUGUCCAACGAUGUACCCGGCGACUACAACGGUUUGUCGGAACACAGGAACCUCUGCGAGGUUCACCAGAAUCUCUUGACCGAUCAACAGAAUCUCAUUCUCACGGUUCGAGCGGAAGAGGGGGGUAAUCUGUCGAAAACCGAGCAAUUCAACAUUCUGACGAACCAACACAACGAAACUCUGGCCAAGAUCAUGGAGAGGCACGCGGCUGUACGCGACAGAUUGACUGCGUGGGAUCGGUACAAAUUGGAUCAGGGUAAACUCUUGUACUGGCUGAAGGAGAUCGAAAGAGAACGAAGCCAGUUACGCUUCAGAUUCAUCCAAAUACAGAGGUUGGACGAAAUUCUCCAGAGGAUAGAGUCGUUGCUGGACAAGAUACCCGAAGGCGAAGCCCAAUUGGAAUCUCUGCAGAGGCAACAGGAGACACUGCUAGCCAAAUGCGACGAGGCGUUAGCCGUGACCAUUCACAGGGACCACGCAGCCAGCGUACAAAGAAUCAACAAUCUGAGCUCAAGUCUGGAGAUGUGGAGGGAUCACAUCCCGAGGAUACAGAAACGAUACAAGGAGUACGAGGAAAAGUCGAAGGACAUCAAUAGCACGUUCACGGAGAUCGGUCAAGCUUUCAGUACAGCGUUUCACUCGAGUCCUGCUAGUUUGACGAGAACGAAACAGCAAUUGGAAUCUGUACACCAGAUGCAGAACAGAUUGUCCUCGAUGAGCAUAGAUUUGGAAUCCUUGGGCGUGAUGAUACAACAAUUGAGAGAGGAUCUCAGCCCGACCGAUAUAAAAUCGUUGAACGAACAACGGGCGCUUUUCCGGCUGCAGCACGAGGAUCUGGAACAUCAAGCGGCGUUGCUGAUAUGCAGAUUGGAGGAGCGUUGUGGUCUGUACGAUCGGUGGAGGGACAGAUUAGGCAGGUUACUCGCGUGGAUAGGAGAAACUGAGAUCAGAAUUCAGGAUUGCGACUCGCCGAACGAGCCCGAGGAAACUCUUAAAAAAUUGGAAUGCGAGAUACAGUCGGAUAUCGCGUUGAAACAGCGAGAAUUAUUGUGGAUACAGAACACUGGGCAAGAUUUGGUCGAAGUAGCGGAGGAAGAGGAGAGCGAAAGGUUGCAACGAUCCCUGGACGAGUUGAACGAGAGGUGGGAUCGAUUGGUGGCUAUGGGAAAAGCGAGAGCUAGUAAGUUGAUGGACCUGAUGAGGACGAUGAGCACAUUGGAGAAGAGGAUAAACGAGUUGAGGAGCUGGCUGGCCAGCGUUGAAAGUCAAUUGUCGGAGACGUUCGUGGUCGAGGCGAUCGAGCAGAGUUGCAUCGACAAGAAGCUGGACGAUCACGAACAUCUUCAGAAGACGAUCGAGGCGGAAAGCGGAAAUAUCGGCGAGGUGUUGAAUCUCUGCGAGAUUCUGUUGAACGACUGUGAUGCGUGGAAAACGUCUUUCAACAACGCGAUCAAGAGCGGGAUGGAAGGUUUGGAGCGUAGGUGGACAACCACCUGCGUGAAAUCGGCGGAGAGAAAGGGGAAUAUCAUUCUCGCGUGGAAAAUUCUCCAGGAAUUGGAGAAGAUCAGGUUGGAGCAGGAAGGUUGGCUCGCGGAAACGGACAAGGCUCUCGUGGAAUUGGAGAACAACUUGGACGAAAUUUCGAAGGACGAGUCUAAGAAGGCUAUCGAGAAGGCUAGAAGCAUAUCCGAGGACGUAGAGGCGCACGAACCGGUGAUCAAGAUAAUCGAGCAAAACUUUGGGCGUUUAGCUAGAACGGGUUUAGAACCAGAUAACCUGAAGUCGCUUAUCAGCGAGACCAGGCGGCUUAUCGAUAAAUGGCAAACGUUCAAGCCUAGAGCGAAUGCCGUUCUAUUGGCUCUCCAGAAAGGGCAGAAGAAUUAUCGAGACUUUAUCACUGUGCAUGGCGCAGCGGUCGUUGGACUGACGCAAGUCGACGUUCGAUUGACCAGGACGCAACACCUGGCCACGCCGGAACAGAAAGCGUCGAUUCGUCGCAGGCUGCAGCAAUUGAACGAGAUCGAGGAAGAACUUCGCACUCAGAACAUCACGUUGCAGAAAGCGGAUGAAUUGGCGCUUAAGGUUAUGCAAGAAUGUCAUCCGGAUGACGUGGCGAAUAUCCAAGAAUUGGUGGACGAGUAUCAGCUGUUAUGGAAAGACAUCAAGAAGAGAGUGGCGUCGUUAAGAGCGGAAAUAGAGGGACAGGAGAGGUCUGAAGUCGACGAGGCUGUGCAAGUGGAAACGUUGAAAUUCGAACAGGACAGUGCGGUUCAAGUGGACACGUUGCCUAGGUUAUUACGAAUGACUUCCAGCGACGCAUACCUGAUGGAAUUGGAAGCUGCUCUGGUCGAGUGCAACGAUGCAUUGGAUACGUUGCAAUUAGCAAUCGCCCCGGAUCCUGUUGCUGGACCUGGAUUAAAUGCGACUGCUAAAAAUAUCAGUAAAUUAAUCGGAAGCUGUCAAUCGUCGAUCGAACUGGUUCGUCAUUUGCACAGUUUGCUCAUAGAAGAUGGAAAAUUGAGCGCGCAAGCCGCCAAGGCUAACGAGGUGGCUGCGUUAACGGAAAGAUACGAAAAUCUUCUUAUAUUGGCGAGAACGCGAGAACAACAGAUCAGAGAACUCAGGUCACCUAACUCCGACGUUUACACCUCUCCCUGCGAUCACGACAAUGGCAGAUUAACCUGUCCCCUAUGUUCGCGUCGCAACUGGGCCCAACUGGAGAACGAUCUUUGGAGGUUGGAAAAAUGGCUGGAAUUCGCUGAAGGCACCCAAAGCGCGCAACAUUCGCCACCUGGCAAUAUCGAACAAUUGGAGGAUGUGAUACAAGAUCACAGAGAAUUUGUGCUCGAUUUAGACUGUCACGAAAGUAUUCUUGCCAGUCUGAACACCGUUGGCGCGCAUUUAGCCGAUCACACGGAGGAAUUGCUUCGAGCAACGCAACUCAGAGACAGAUUAGCCGUUGCGAAUACGAGAUGGGUGAAGGUUUGCAAAGUGGCUGCACAUUGGCAGGAACAGUUACAGACUGCAUUAAUGUCGAACCAGCAAUUCCAUCGUAUCAUAGAGGAAUUGGUUACCUGGUUGGAGAAAACUGAAGCCAGUAUACGGGCCAGCGAACCGGUCGAUCUGACCGAGUCGCCGGAAAUUAUGACCGCAAAGUACAAUAAAUUCAGGGAAUUGAGAAGUGAUUUGGAGCGAUGCGAGCCUCGAGUUCUGUCGCUUCAAGAGUCAGCCAAUCAAUUAUUGGACGAGAAAGGCGAAACCAGAGCACGCCUACAGGAACUUCGUCUCAGAUUGCAGUCCCUUCGACGGUUAACCGGGAUAUACGCUUUAAAAUUAGGAGCAGCCCUAGGGAUGGAUCCUCGGGACGUUGGACUCGCAGCCACUACCUCUUCUCUCGCUUCCCUUUCACACGAUGUAAGCUUCAUUCUAUCCUAUUCGCCACUUUUUCUCGUUGGAAUACUCGAAACGAAGCAAAGUUUCAUUAAAGAAAAUCUUCGUUGUUUUAUUUCCGUAAAGACUCGCUAGCUUCUUCAGAAUAUUUUCAGUUGCUCGACGAAGCUGCCUCUGGAACCGUUCAGCCCCACGACGCACCUGACACACAUGGUGACGAUGGCGAGCGUACGGUAUUGUCUCGGGGAUACCGUUUCCUGGGCCGCGUGUUGCGCGUUUCCCUGCCGAUCCAGGCGUUGAUGCUCCUAUUCCU